rnacentral:lncRNA from 1 species
AAUUUACAACUUAAAAUCACUCAACAUCAUCAGUUACUUGAGCACAUGAUGCUUCCAUCAUUCCAUUGCGUAUUUGAUUACUAAUAUCCCUAACAUGGCCAGGUCCAUGAGGUAUAAAAACUGUGGUAUUCUUUGAAGAGUUCCCAAGUUCUUUGAUUGUGUCAAAGUACUGAGUAAUCAUGAUAAGAUCCAUCACUUCCUUUGCUGAAGUUCCUUCUACCUUGGUAGAGAAUUCCAAGAUGUUCUCUCUUAAACCGUCCGUGAUAGCUUGACGCUGUCUUGCAACACCAACCCCGCCUAAAUACUUUGAUUCAGCUUCUGCUUCCGCCUUUUUAACUAUAACCACUUUAUCAGCUUCUCCUUUGAAUUCACUAGCAAGUAGCAACCUUUGAGCUGCAAAGUUAAAUCAAUACUUAUUUAGUUAAGCUUCACACACUACAUCAACUUAUAAACAAUAAUAAAAAUAUCUGAUAUUGUAUCAUAGUGUUAGUACAGUAGGAAAUGGACGGCAUUCGGUUAUUAAUUGUUGGUUUAGGUUGGGAGAAACUAUGCUUUCUAAUUCCUAAAGGUUGGGUUAGUAUCUAUCAGUUCUUCUCCAUGUUCUUGUUACCAACUCUACCGAAAGUAUUCUCAGACUGCUGUUGAUUAUUAUACAUGUUCAGUUCAGUAUAUACUAUCCAUCAUUUACCUGUACAUUCCACUUCUAUCACACAACAUAUCCGUUCGGGCCACCCAACAAAAUAUCUAUGCACUAAGAUUAAUUCCACUCAACCAAAGGGAGUUUAUUAAGAAAACCUAGGGGUGGCAAAACGGACCCGACCCGCCAGGCAUGUCUGUUUUGUCCGCACUUUUUGGCUGGUUGGACCAAGGUUUUAAGGCUGCACCCUCUAAUAUGUCCGUUCUGCCCAGUUUUUGUUUGCAGACUUUUGCGGACGUAGACAUUAACAUAAGUCAUGAAAAAACCCAUGUCUCGUGAAAAAUAAGACAGGAAAAAAAUUAAUCAAGAGUGACAUUCCUAACCUGACAAACUAGUUUUGUAAUAUGAAUUAGAUUCCGUACAAAAAAUCUAAGAUGCAAUAACAAGAGUACGUGUGCACAAAGAGCUUACAGUUUAGGGGAAAAAUGCUUAAUUUCAUCAAUGUGCACAAAACUAAAAUUAAGAUGCUUCCAUUUCAUCAGAUUCCAUACAAAUAGAAACAUGGGGAAAAAGUAGUAUAACAUCAGAACACACAGAAUCAUUUUUCUGAACCCAAUAGUUACAUUUUGUGACCGAGUAUUCUGUAAACAUACAUUUUACUGCUUGAUAUGCCUAUUGGAAGAGAAGAAACAGAGUCUAAAAACUACAAAUCAGUAUUAUUACCUGCAUUGAUCUCAUUCAUCGCCCUCCGCACAGAAGGAUCGGGUAUAAUAUCAACCAUCAGUAUGUGCUCUAUGCUAUAUCCAUAUUCUCCCAUCACCUGAUACAAGAUAAAGCAACUACCAUUAAGUACAUUGAACGACAAACAACCACUUUAUCAUCCUAAAUUUAGAGGAUCCAUUUCCUCCAAUAUAACUUAUAAAUCUUCCCAUUGAACGGAAAACAACCAUUUUAAGAGCAGCAGCAACAACGACAACUACCACACAAAAACAACGACGACGACAACAUGUACCAAACCAAAGCAACAACUUUGUGAUAGUUCGCAGGAAUUUAUCAAUUACUUACUCUGUGUAUGAAGUCUAAGUUUCUUUUCGCUUACUAAUUCUUACAUAAAUAGCCAAAUCAUACGUGUGACUUUAAAAGUAGUUAUGAUUGAAGUUAAAGGUAUGACAAUUAUGAUUGAUUGAUCUGAGUUAAAAAAUUUACAGCGAAGAUGUUUACAAAUUAAACAUUUUCCUUCUACUAUAAUUAACAUAAUUUCAUAAAAGCAAUGAGAGUGGUUACCUUUCCAAGUUCUUCCAUGACACCUUUUGCAACCUCACCUUUUUGCUCAAACAACUCAUCCAAAUUCAUCUUCGGAACAAUAGCACGAGUGACUGCAAUAACAAACCACAAACACAAACUUAACUAAAUAAAAAACUAAAACUACAAAAAUCAACAGUGAUAAGGCAGCUUAGUGAUAAAGUGGUCAUUCAUGAUCAAUUCAACUUUUUCAACUAACAAAAAAUAAUCACUAACAACAAUCAUCAUUAAGAAAACAUAUAACCACCAAGGCUUUAAAAAACGGUCUGUUGCCGCGAAAACGGCUAUGACAAAACGGUAUCAGAAGGUACAUGUACUGAUAUUCACAGUUUUUAUGAUGAAAAAGAAAUUGUAGUUAAUUCACACCAGGAUCGCAACAUAUGUACAGACGGAAACUGUAAAAACCUUUGCGCGACCGCGACCGUUAUUUAAAACUUUGAUGAACACAAAAAAAACAACCAAAAUCAUAAACAAAACCAAGAGCAAAACACAAACCAUCAAAAACAUAAGCCUGGAUCUGUUCCUGAGGGUUUUGCAACUCAUAAAAAGCAUCAUCAGCACUUUCCUUAACCACGCGGUAUUGAAUCGAACACAACAACUGCACAAAAACAUUAUCCUGCACAAACACAAUAAGCCUCUCACCAUCAUCAUCAUCAUCAUUACAUAAAAUAUUGCCAUUUACAACUCAAAAUUAACAAAUAAAUCAAAGUCAACAACUAAUGAGUUUCAAAUUUCAACCAAGAUCAAAUCAAUCUGAGUUCGAUUCUGAAAUUCCUUGUAACGAAGGUUUAUGAUCCAAUAAAGAAAGACACAAAGAGAGGAAUGGAAAAUUAGGUUACUUACCUUGGUUUUGGUUUCGAUUUUGACGUCGAGGGAAGCGAUACGAGUGGAGAGAAUACCAGCGAGACAUUCACCGGCGAGGGGGUUGAAGAACUGGAAACCAGGUUGAGCCACUCGGUGAAAACGACCCCACUGUUCAACAACGCCGACGCUAGACUGUUCGACACAGCCACAGAAUAAACAGAACGUAUUCCCCAUUCUGAAUUUUCUUCGAUCGAUUGAUAAUAAUAAUCUAAACAAACAACACCGCUUUUUUUUUUGUCGUUGUUAUUGCUAUAUAAAAUGUCAAUAUGUAGUGAUGUGUGUAUAAGAGUUAUGUGGAUUUGAAUCCUACACGAGAGAGAUUGGUACAAAAAAUUAAUUAGUUAUAUAUACCUACUUACUUAUCAUCUUAGGUAUGAUGAUAUUUACCUAUAUCUAAUACACAAAUAGAAGAAUCAUAUAAGAUAAGCUAUAUUAGAAUUUAUUAUUUUGAAUUAUUUAAAAUUUAAUGAAGGGAAAUCAAGGGAAAUGAUAUCUAUUAUUUCAAUUUUAUUUCUUUCUGUCAUUUUAAUUUUCUUUUUGAUACGGUAAUGGACAAAUGAGAAGACAUUGUCUUUGAUCUGUCAAAAUUAAUCGGGAGUCUUUACAUCAAUAUCGUUACCUAUCAUAUUUUCUUUCACGAUAGACACAUUUAGGCUAAAGAACACUUCAUUUUUAUCAAGGCUCACUAGUUGACACGAGGCUUUUUAAUAUUUGGUGAGAAAUCACCUCUACUUUUUUUUUAGACUUUGCUCUUAGGCUAUCAUCAAGCGAAAAUUAAAUGGUUAAUAUUUAGAACAUUCAUAGUCACUUGCAUGAUAUUUUUGUUGUUUCUUUUUUUCUUCAUUAAGUGUAAGACUUUAAAAUAUGUUAGAAUAUAAAAUAAAAAUGUAAGGGGAAAUAGAAUCACCUUGGCAUAGGCCCAUAUUCGGCCUGAAACUAGCACUAGGGUAACGGUUGAUCAACAUAUGGAAUGACACUAUUGAGAUGCAAUUAAGGAUUAAUGAAUUUUGAAAUGAAUUCCUAAGUUUAGAGAACCCCUCUAAAAAAAAUUCAUUUCAUUCUAUCGUAUCCUUUCCCAUAUCUAAUUUGAGGAUCAUCAUUCCUUUCUUGCCGUUACUUUUUUUCUUCAUCAAAUGAAAGCAUUCCGUUGAUAAUAAUGUGUUAUUAGUGAUGAAUAUUCCUUUGAAAAAAGAAGUUUUUUCUUCAUCAAUCACAUCCAUAAGAAGGGAUUUGACAUUAUUGAUUAGGAUCUUAGUCAUAAUCUUCAUUGUCACAUUAUAUUGGCUUAUGGGCCAAAAUUGUUUUGGUGGUGACGAAUUCUUUCACUUGGAAAUAAUUUCUAUUAAUGUAUUUCAUUAAUGCACCAUGAGGACAUGUUUUCAUUAAGAAUACUAAGAGCAAUAUUCUUAAUAUCUUUUCUAAUAAUGUGCAAUAUGUUUUUGGUAAAACAACACUAGAAACCCAUUUAGGCCGGGGCUUUCAAAGGAUUCAUUUGGUUAUCUGCCUCUUUGACAUCUUCUGUAGUAAAAAGUAAGUUGAAAAUAUAACAUCAUUUGUAUUUAACUCCAACAUUUUUGAUUUUAUUUGACUUGCACCUAUGAUAUACCGACCCUAGUGCUCACCUAGUGUCAUUCUCUUGAUAAUCGUGAUUGCAUCUUUUGCAAUUUUAGCCACCAGUGAAUCAAUUGCAGUGGCGUUAAGCAACAACUUUAGCUAUUGUAAAAGCCCAUUUCGUAAUAUUUUCAUCAGAGCCAAGUCAUCAAAGUCAUGUUUUGCAUAUCUUCUUAACAUUGACAUGUAUCGUUGAUAAACUUUACAUAAUGUUUUAUUAGCACCUUGUUAAAAGACUGAAAUUAUAGUUUGUGCAUCCAUGAGUUUUUUUUAAAGAAAAACCAAUUAAAAAAUUUCUACACCAUAUGAAACAACACGUUCUAGUUGGUGGUUUGUAUGGUCUGAUCUAUGUACCAAUCUUUAGCUUUACUUAUAAGACAGUGUGGGAAUAAUCUCGAAAACACAAACUUCUUGUUCUUCUUCGACUCUAAUAGUUCCUGAUAUUUCAUAAAAGUUUGUAAAAUGAUAAUAAGAAUCUUCAUUAUCUAAACCUACAAUUUGCCAUAAAUAAUUUAAAGUAACUCAAUUCUCAUAUUAAAUUGUCUUCUUUUAUUAAAGACCGUCCUAAGUGAGUUAAUCUCCAUGGAUUAUAAAAGAAAUACAUUUCAUUAUCAUUGGUGCUAUUGUCAUGAUCAUCUUCAUUGUUGUUGUUUUCAUUAUUGUUGUUUUAGUUUUUGAUGACUUGAGGAUCAUACUAUUGGAUGUUUGCAAUUAUGGAAGUGUUUGUUUGCUUUGCUUUUUUUUUUUUAGAUUUUGGAGAGCAUUCCUUUCAAUUUUUAUAUCAAAAGGAACUAAAAUUCUGUCUCACAUAGCAACAAACAUGUCAGUAAUAAUAAGAAAAAUAAAACAAAAAUAUACAUAAUAUGAACGAAAAUUCACAAUUUGACUUAAAAUUAUAAUAAUCACAAAUAAGAUAUAAUUUUGCCAUUUCCCAACAAUAACACCAUUUUGUUGAUCUUCAUUUUUUCUUUUAAAGUGUGUAGAAGUAUAGUGGUUAUGUCAACAAAAAUCACAUUGUAGUGGGUAAAAAUAUUGAAUCCAUUGGGAAUGAGGAAUAUAAUUUAUACAUAAGAAUUACUAUUUUAAGUAGAAAAUGAGUUGUGUUUGAAAUGUUAGUUUAACAUAAAACAAAAUAAGUAAAAUAAGAUAAUAUCAGUGAUAUAGAUUGUUAGGGUUAGGUUGCAACUAUUACGGGUACAUGCAUAAUAUGAUUAGUUAUGUAUAUUUUAACCACAAUCUAUAUUAUCACAUGAAGCUAAACAAUGUUAUCCAUGUUUGGAAUAAUAACGUGAUAUUAACUAUAUUGUUUAUUCGACGAUUUCUCAGACUAAUAAAUAAUAUGAUAACCUUAAAUUUCAACAACAUAUGUGAAUAUCAUAUUUAUAUUUAUGUAUAAACUCUAACUCAUGAUAUAUGAUAACCUAAAUAUAAAUCUAACAACAUAUCUCAACAUCAGCUAGAUACACAUAUCAUAUUAUAAACGUUCAUGUUCUUCAAGGCAUAAGUAAGAUUUACACUAGUUUUAAACCCAAGAGACCCUUUCGAAACCUCAUAGAUUAACAUGCAUGAUACUAGUAUAAGAGGCAUUAAGAAAAAGAGUAAAGAUAAAAUAUGUUGAUUGAUUAAAUUAGGCAUAACUCCUUGAUCAUUUCAAAUACAUAUAAUAUAUAAUAAUAUACACACCUAAGCCUAAUAAGAGAGAACUUAGAUACACGUGAUGGAAGCUAGAUAGAAGAUGUAGACAUAGAAUCACAUUGAGAGGGUUUCUUAAUCCUCAGAUAAUCCACUUCUAUAGGCGUUCGACGUUAUAAAUUUUCUGGCUCUCUCUCAAUGAGAAUUUUACUAAACUAUAUAACUUACCAAAACUAUAUGAAAUUGAUAUCUAAAACAAACUGGCCACGCCUUUAUUUAUAGAUUUUCAAAGUUGUCUUCAUUUGUUAGGCGAGCUGUAAUUCUCCAAGAGGAUUAUCCUAUAUGGUUAUGUAGCACCAAAGUUAUCUUCAAGUUGCCUUAAUGAGCCGCCAUGAAUUAGUCAAGUGAGUUGUAAUUUCUCCUUACUUAUUUUUCCUAUUUUAGAUUCAUCGAGUAUCCAUAUAUGAGUUUCCUUCAUUUGGCUCGACAAUUAUUAUUUUAUGCAUUUCUUUUUAGUAUUUUAAUCUAAAAUAAUCAAAAAGAUGAUAAAAUAAGAUACAUGCAUAUUUUUAGGACAAUUCUCAAAUAAGCAUAAAAUUGAGGGACUUUUCCAUGUUACUUCGUGUGCAAGUAAGUCAAUAAGUUUGUUAAUAUAAUAGUGAUAAAUAAGUAAGUUACACACUUAUCAGCUAUACCACUAACCUUAUAUUUUCCAUAUCCAGAGCAACCAGCAAUCACUCACAAACUAAAAUUAAAAAAAAAACUAUUUACUCCAUCUCCGCUUCAUUAAGGUUAGUCUUCAUUAAGAACAUCAAAUAAGGGUUUUUAAUACGAUUAGCCUUGACAUGGCUCAAACUUUUUCAUGAUUCCCUAACCCCCUACAAUUCUAAAUUAAGAUUUAUAUUGAGGUAUAAGGUGUUUUUCAUCCAGCACUCCCUCUAAAGAUUGUAGUUGUUCUAGUUCACUAGUUGGCCUUAUUUGUUCUUCUACUCUAGACAAAUGGGUUGGAUCAUCAUUUAUAAGUGUUACUUAAAUUAAUUAUGUCUUUUAUAAUUAUGUCAUUAGUUUUUCAUGGGUUGUCUCUUUCCCCACUUUACUCUUCCUAGUCCAUUUUUUGGUACUUCUUUAGUAGCCUUCAUUUUUGUAUGAGAACUUUUGUCCCUUUUGUUUACAACUAGGGUUGUGAUCAUGAUGUUAUUUAAAGAUUCAACAACAUUCUCCACCAUCCAAUGGGAUUUCACUCUGACAUUAUAUGGUACCAACUCUGAUUGAGGGAUUGUGGCAGUGGGUUUCCCCUCUUUAUCCACUUCAACAACUUUCUCCUUAUAAUCAUUUGGGAUCCCCUAAAUAUUAAGUCUCUCAACAAAUAAACUCCUUAUGCAACUACUUGGACUAUUUCUAUCAUAAUUUCAAAAAUGAAUUUUGGUAGUGGGGAUGCUCUCAAUCAUUUCCCAAAACAUAGCUUAUUGUAAUUAAUUCUUCAAACUUGACCUCUUCUUUAUCUUCCAUUUGUUCAUAGUCUUUAGUUUUGUGUCCAAUCUUCCCACAAAUGAAGCAAAGUGUUGGUAGUUGUUCAUAAUUUUAAAAAACCCAAAUGCAUUUCCCUUGGCAUUUAUAGACGAUUCCCUUUUUCAAUGAUUUCUCUAAGUCCACCAACAUUUUAUUUAUGAGGAAUCUCCCUAACCCGUCUUCAUCUUGUUUAUCGAUUUCCAUAAACUUUCCUAGGAAGUCCCAAUUUUUUUCAUAGAAUCAAAUCAUAUCUUCAAAGGGAGGUCGUAUAUUCUCACACAAAAUUCCCUGACGUGCAUUUCCAUAUCCAAGGGUCUCUCAUCUCCUAAUAUUCUCUUUAAAAUGAUCAUAUUUAUGUCAAAACUCCACAUGUCAUUCUUUAUAAUGGAGUCUGCAACAGUUUUGGCGCUAAAUCAAAAGAGGAAUAUAUUUUUGUUGAGGUUUUGAACUCCAAUCGUUUUUUUAAUCUACGAGCUUAAUUAAUCAAUUUCUUUAAGAUUCUUGAGUUGAAAGGAUUAUUUGACCAUAUAUUAUCAUCCAAAGAUCUUACAAAAAUUUCCUCUUCACAAACUUCCCCUUCAUCAACAAUACACCUCUCCUCCUCUUCUUCCUUCGUAAGUUCUAUUUUUCUUCUCCAAAUCUUGAUUGAAUGAUAGAAUAGAGAAUCCCAAAACCAAAAAAUAAAUAUGAAUCCAAGUAAAUGACCUAGGAUGUACAUAUUAGUGGAGACCCAUUUGAGGCGAGGAAACCAGAAGGAACCUAAUGGCAAGGAUCGGCGCCUCGAUGAAAGAAGUGAAGGAACCCUAGACAAGGUAGGAGAAACACAUUAAGUCUUUUCUUAAAAGAGAUAAAGUUAGACUUCUCUCAAGAAAAAAAAAUACGGAGUAGGGAUGUCAAAUUGACCUAUUGCCAGUGGAUACUUGUAAAAAAUACCCACUAUGGGUAGGAUAAAAACACCCAAAAUGGGUAUGUGCAUGAUCUCGGGUAAUUGUCCACUUAAAUAAGUAGGUAUAGGUGUGGGUAUAGACACCUUAGUACCCACCCUGCCCCAUACCCACAUAAUACAUAUUUAUAUUUUUUAAUUUGUAUUAUUAGAUGUCAAUGCAUAUCUAUCAAUUUAUAAAAAAAAGAAUUGUUAAACCAUUAAGUAUUUAAUACAAGUGUUUGUUUAUUUCAUAAUUCAAAAAUAUUUUUUUUAAAUGUCUUUAAUAUUUUAAAAAACUUAAAAUGAUAUGAAAUUUUAUAAUUUAUAAUUUAUUUUUAUUAGAAAUGUGAGCAAUAGGUACAAAUAUGGGUGCUUACAUAUCCCUAGAGUAUGAGUACGGAUGCUAAGAUAUAAACACGAGUAACAAGAUUUUUUCCAACCACAAGUAUGAGAAUAAAUAUUAUUGUACUCUGUCAAAACUCUGGCCAUUACAUCCCUAGUGGACCGUGUAGUCUUCCAAUGUUCAUUAAGGAAGAGAUGGUUCAUCAUAGAUCCUUUAAUAGUAAUAUUACUCUAAAAAUAGACAUUGGGAUGCAUUUUAUAUAACUUAUUAGAAAUUAAUUUUUAAAGUCCUUCAAGAUUUUGGGUUCAAUGAAAAAUAUAUAUAAUUUGAUUGAGGUUGUCUUGGCAUCUACUAGAUUGUCUAUAUCUAUGAAGUGUAAUGUUGCAAGUGUUUUUAUCUUGUCAAAUAGAAAUUAGGCAAUGAUCCCUUGUCCCUUCUCCUUUUUUUUAUUGGAGAACAAGUUCUUCAUAAAGACAUAUAAAAAUUUGUUGAAUUUGUAUCACUAUCUUUGAUCAUAGGCCUAAGGGAUACUUUUGUUCCUUUUUAAGUUGUGUAUGUUGAUAACUUGACGAUAAGUUUUUUAAAGGAACCCUUGAUAAUCUUAAACAUCUCAAAGGCCUCUUUGAUAGGUCUAGUCAAGCCUCUAGAAAAAUUAUCAAUCCUAGUAAAUUAACUAUAUACAUGGAUUUCAUUACCACUAGAAGACAACAAACAUAAUUAUUCUUCUUCAUUCUCCAAUCAACAUGAUUCAUUUCAUUUGUAUUGGUGUGUUUAUUCCUUUCCUUUGUUAACUUGAUCCCUAAGAAAAUGAUACAUCCUCUCCAUGUGUUUACUUUGACCAUGACACAUUGAAUGAUUCACCAGGUCGAUAGUUGACUUGUUGUCGACAAACAACUUCAUUUUCCUAGGUUCGAUUAUCUUGAGGUCUUCGAGAAACAUCUUUAUCCAUGCUGCUUGACAUGUUUCAUAUGAUGUAACCACGUAUUCAGUUUCACAAGAUGACAAGGCUACAAUGUUUUUCUUCCUUGAGCUCCGUGAGAUUGGAGCGCCUUCGAUCAUGAAUAUGUAGCCUACAAUACUCUUCUUCUCAUCUUGAUCUCCACUGAAAUCUGAAUCAGUGUAGCCAUAUACUUAUGCAUCUGUAUUGGUUUUCUUCUGCCUUAACAUCAACACACCAUAAUCAAUCGUACCCUUUAUUCAUCUCAACAUCCUUUUAACUGUAGUGAGAUGAUAUUUUUGGGGUUUCUCCAUGAAUGUGCUCAACAAUUCGACACUUUUGACAAAUAUUUGGCCUGGUGUUUGUUGAAAAGUAUAUUUUCGGCAAAUAUUUUAAUAUCGUAUCCACAGAGAUUGGUUGUUAUCACCGCCGUUCUAUAAUCCAAAUUGUUAUAAGUUUAAAAUGUAACCAAGUUGUUUUGUUUGAAAAGUUAUCUUUUGAGUAAAAUGUCACUAAAACAAUAAAAUAGUUUUAAUCAAAUGUAAAAGGCUUUGGCAAGAUUGGAGUUCACUAUUCAAAUUUCUAUGUUUCCUUAUGACAACUAUAUAGACUUAAAAUUAUUGAUGAUAUUCAAGUAUCCUCUCAAUAUCAUUUAUCUCUAAAUGAUAUUGUGAUAAUCACUAUAUUAAUGGCUAAAUGAUAUUGAUGAUAUUCAAGCAAUCUUUAUGUUUGAUACAAAAGAAGAGUAGUGUAUAAAUCUAUUUCUACAACUCAUUCACUUCUGAAAGUAUAUUUUAAGUCAAGACUUGAAUAAUCUUUCUCAACACUACUCAAAUCUAAAUAUUCAAAAUAGGGCAAAAUAUCUUCAAUACAUCAACUAACCUUUUGUCAUAUACAAGAGUCAAAUGGAAUACAUAAACAAAUAGGAAUAGCUACUACCUCCAAUCUUGACAAAAUGGGGUUUAGCUCCUCAUCAUCAUUUUGGACAGCAAAAUGCAAUAGCAAAACUAAACUCUGUUUUUCUUCUACAAUGUGUGUAUAUCUUUAUUUUUUCCAUUCUGUUUUCUUAAAGAGUUCAACCUUUCCUAAAAUGUUCAUUUUCAUCUAAAACUGAAAAGCACUCUAAAAAUGAUACAAAACUGUCACACUAAAGUUGGGUUGAAAACAGAACACUUGGCCCAAACAACAUGCUUGCUGGUUUCGCAAGGUUCGCGGCGCCAUCCCUGGUCGCGGCGCGAACUGAAGCAAUUUCAGCUUCCUUGCCUUGCAAGCUUCAUUUAACAAUUCUCCCAAGUGUCUUAUUCUUCCAAAUUAUGCUUCCAAAUUGCCAUUGAAUAAUGCUCCCUACUUAGACAUAGGCGAAAGGCAAAAUUUGGAAACAAACUCGGUUUGAAGGUUCAGUUGAAACGAAAGAAAUUAGGAUUCAUUUAUUCACAAAGUUUUCAAUUGACUUUACACUUAUCAAUUAAAUGAAUCCUAAAACAAGCUCAAAGGGGGUUAACUAAGGAUCACUCCUCACAAGGUUAGUUGAUUCAAAACUUUUUGGCCAAGUGGUUUUUCUCAUAACAAACAAUGCCCUUAUCAUUUUCACAAUUUUGACAAAAAUAGAUUAAUGCAUGAUUUAGCAUGAUAAGAAUGAAUUGAAAUAAUGUUCGGUUUCCCGCAUUUAGUGUACAAUGGAAAGCUACCUCACAAUUGGUUAAGUCCUAUUUUGAUUCAAAAAUGUGUAUCUCAAUGAAUUUAUGAUAUGGAAUUUGCAACGCACCAUCAAACUACUCAUGUUAAGUCUAGAAAGCGAUAAAGUGUACCUUGAAAUGCCGACACUAAUUCUUAUCAUCACCACUCGAAGUGUCCUACGCUUCCUUCUUUGCAAGCAUUUCUUGGUUGCUUUAAGCUUAACUUAAGAAUAAGAAAAAUUAAACAAACAAAUUGGGUAUACCAAAUUCAUUGUAACACACAAUUAAAUCUCACAAAAGAUUCAUGCAAUUAACAAACAAAAGUUUAUGGUGAAACUAGAGCCACUAAAAGUACAAUAGUAAUUAAACAAAAACCAUAAUAAUAAAAACUCAAAAUAAAAAUCUACUACUACUCAAACAAAAUUCCCAAUCUUCCUCAUCAUGACCACCACCAACGGAUCCAUGUACAUCCUCCAUCUCAUCAUCAUGGGUCGCACCACCUCCUGCACCCCCCAUAGAAGCUGGCCCGCCCUUAGGCCAAUUAGCAUAAGCAGCAUACUCCGCCUGGGAAGGAAAAGUACGAGCUUCGGGUGCAAGGAAGGUGUUCUGAAAUUGCUGCUGCAUAGCAUCAAAAAUGAAUGAUUGAGACCUCCUAGAGGCCUCAAAGCUCUCACAGCAGUAGGUAGCGAACGCCAUCUGAUCGAAUGCUGGCGUACUGCGGGCUCGGGGUCUAGAGGAAGAAGUGCCAACUCCUUCAGCUAUGUCCAUCUGGCUCUGGCAAAACCUGUUCAGAUAAGCAUCAUUAAUAAUACUGGUGAUAGACAAGUGUACCUCAUCCGGAAUGGGAACAUUUGCCCUUCGGCAAAGUCCCAUAAUCAGCCCCAGAUAUGUUAGAACACCAGCUUUCCCACCGAACUUGAUUCCACUAGUAGCAACUUUGUGCAUUUCUCCCGCAAUGAUGGAUGCCACAUCUACUGAUUUACCAAUCAUGAUGUAGUACAAUAGGCAUCCGACAUCCAAUGGAAUGGUGGUGCUGUGGCUCCUUGGCCGAAUAUUAUUCAAUAGAAGCACCAAAUAGGCCCUUGCUUCCAAGUCAAACUCUCUCUCUUCCACGACUUCGGGAAUCCCUGAUCAUUCAAAUCAUAAGUCCUUCCUUCAAGGCAUAGAUGAGCGCUCACAGUGGGAAGGUCCCAAUCGUUGGCCAUUUCUUUGGCACGAUACUCGCACCGCCCAUUCUCCGCCAAAAUGAGAGGAUUACCCAAAUAGGAGUUGAUCGCGUCCCUACUAAAGGAAAUGAUCUUUCCUCUCACUCUUGUUUGAUAGUGAAAUGCCACUCCCUCCUCUAGCUGAAGAGCAUUGGCGUAGAACUCACGCACAAUGUCAUAAUUUAUCUCUGGCUCCAGUUCAUAAAUCUUGUUCCAUUUUCUUCUUUCAAAAUUCGAUACCAGCUUCCUAUAAGUUCCACCCGGUGACAAGAGGAUGAAUCUUUCCGGUUGAAUGGUCCUUUUGAUCAAUUUUUCGAAUCUCUCCUCGUGCUCAUCACUAGUGAAUCGUCGCACGGAUCGUGGAGGACCGGAAGUUUUGGUACGUUUUGACAUCUGCAACAAAAUCAGAACAACCACAAAAAAGCCAUAAGAGAAGUUAGCAUUCAAAAUCAAAAAUCAUGAAACUGAAAUUUCCCAGUUCGCGGCGCGAUGGCUCAUUCGCGGCGCGAACCCUGCGAACCAGAAAAUUAUCAGUAGCCUCUAGGGUACCUUCUGCUAAAAAAUUUUUCUCAAUCAUAACCACAAUCCCUUACCCAAUCCUAAUUUGAAUCCUCUAUAGUGGUUGACUAACAUAGACUUCUUCUUUCAAAGGUCCAUUAAUAAAUGUUGAUGUUACACCCAACUGAUGUAUCUUCCAUCCUAUGUAUGUUGCUAUCGACACAAUAAUUCUGAUGGUUUCCAGCCUUGCCACAGGUGCAUACACUUUGUCGAAAUCAAUACCAGGUUUUUGAGAAAAACUCUUGCCAUUGGUCUUGUCUUAUUCUUGGAAAUUUCACCAUUUGGCCUUAGUUUCAGUUUGUAAACCCAUUUCACAUCAAUUGACUUCUUGAUUGACUUUUCAACAAGCUCCUAUGUCUUGUUCUUCUCGAUUUCCCCGAGUUCCUCUUUCAUGGCUGCUAACCAAUUUGAAUCAUUCACGGCUUGAUCCAAUUUGAUUGGUUAUGCUUCAACCAUCAUCAUCACUUCUUCUAUUAAGUAACCAUUUGCAUCGACUGCUUGAUAUAGAAAUAUCUCAUAUCCAGCUAGCCUUGUCGACUCAGUUCUUGUUCUAAUCAAUCUCCUAACAUUCUGCUCAAGUGGUUUUUCAUUUCGAUUUGUUGGGACUUUAAUUGGUCUUAUUCAAACAUAUUUGUAACUGUAUCUUACUCUUGUUGAAAAUACCCAUGACUCAAAUCCCACCAUUUGCUUUCAUCCACUAGAACAUCUCGACUGAUCAUAAGUUUAUCAUCAAUUGGUGAAUAUAGCUUGUAUACACCAGUCGAAUAAUAACCUAUAAGCACCAUAGCCUAACUUCGAUCAUCUAGUUUCUUCCUCAAUUGUUCAGGUCUAUGCCUGAAAGACAUUGAUCCAAACACUCUAAGAUAAUUAACAUUCGACUUCACACUUGUCCAAGCCUUAUAAGGAGUCAUGUCGACUAUCUUCUAAGUUGGACAUCUGUUUAGAAUGUAUUGUUAUCAAAGUUGCUUCACCCCAAAAUAUCUUUGGCAUAUCUUUAGCUUUCAACAUGCUCCUAGUCAUCUUCAGUAUACUUAGAUUCUUCCUCUCAAUUAUUCCAUUAUGAUGAGGUGUAUAUGAUGCAAUUACCUCAUGCUUUAUACCUUCCUCAUUUCAAAAUCUAGCAAAUUCUCGAGAAGUGUAUUCACCACCACCAUCAGUGCUUAGUUUCUUCAACUUACAUCCACUUUGCUUCUUGACAUGCAAUUUGAACUUCUUAAUUUGUGUGAAUACCUCAAACUUCCUUUCAAUAAGAUAAAUCCACAUAUAUCUGAUGAAUUCACCUGUUAAUGUUAGGAAUUAGUAGUCACCUCCAUUCGAACUUACUUCAAAUGGUCCAUACACAUCAUAGUGAAUAAACUCCAAAGUUUCCUUCGACCUCAUGAGAAAGUCAUGUUUGAAUGCUUUCUUAGCCUGCUUUGCUUUGCAACAUUCCUCACAUAUCUGUCUUGGUUCAUUCAUCUGAGGUAAGCCAUACAUCAUCUUCUUCUGGUUGAGCAUACCUAAACUCAUGAAGUUUAGAUGUCCAUACAUUUGAUGCCAUAGCCAGUUCUUGUCUUCUUCUGCAUUCGAAGCAAGACACUUGUGAUCAACUGGAUUGAUCUCUACUUUGAAGGUCAUGUAGUCUGCCAAUGGUGCCUUCUGAAUUAACCUUCCAUCACCAUGAUACACCUUUAUCUAAUUCUUUUCGAGCUUCAUGUUGUACCAUUUUGCAAGUAAUUAAACUACACUUAUCAAGUUACUUGUCAUCUAAGGUACAUAUAACACAUAAGUAAUGUUGGCUUUUCGACCAUCCUUUCUGAAAACAUAGAUAUCUCCUUUUCCAUCUGAUGUGAUGUGCCUGCCAUCUGUAAACUUGAUCACUUUAUCAAUUAAUUCAUCUAGCUUGGUAAACCAGUUUUUUUACCAAUCAUGUGGUUACCACAUCCUGAAUCCAAGUACCACAUACUAGUUUGCUCAGUGUUUGAUUGAGUGUUGUGCAUGAAGGAAAAUUGCGAUCCAAAACGCAGUGGGAAUUAAAAAAUUUCCUUUAAUGAUCCUUAUGAAUGGGCAUGAUCAGUGAUAGAAACAGUUACCUCUUGUGGCAAUUGAAACCUUUGAUGCAGAUCUAAGGAGUGAUCACGAGCGUUGAAUGGUGACAACGCCUCUACUCAGUCCAUACAAAUAGAUUCCUUCAGUCUUAGUGUUAGCUACUAUGAAUGAAGGCUUUGAAUGAGAGAGAGAGAGAGAGAGAGAGAGAGAGAGAGAAAUGAAAUUUUAUCAAGUGAAAUGCUUCUGCACAAGGGUUCUAUUUAUAGAACCACUUGUGUGGGAUGCAAGCUAAAAAGCCCACUUAAGUGUAUAUGGCUCAUAUCUUAUGGUAUACCGAAAAUCACUUAAGCGCAUGGUACCUUACCAUAUUUUGUAUUCUACUUAAGUGCACCGUACCUUACGAUGUUAUACAAUUCACUUAAGUGCAUUGUACCUUACGGUGUUCCUGAUUUACUCUAUCUCUCAUCAAUCCGUCCUUUUGUGUGUGACCCUGUAGGUUUUCGUAAUAUUAACAAUUAUAUUAAAUCACGUAUUUAACAUAAUAAAUAAUAAGCGGUAUCUAGCAACACAUCAUUGUUACCCAACACAUGAAAAUGUCAUGUGAUAUGACAAAUCCCUUUUUGUGAUAAUACUUAUGUGUACAAUUACCAUUUUUUGCCCUUAUGUCUAUAUUGAAUACAAGGCAUAGAUUGUGUCAUCCUUGUCCAGUUCAAUAUUGGGCCCUUAGAAAUUUAUCCUGUUACGCAGGAUGGGCAAAUUCUAUCUAGGUCACUCAUGUCCCUCAACAUGCUUCGUGGAGUACCCGUCAACCGUCUUUAUGGUCAUUCAGUUACGGAUAAUGUUUGAUCAACAAUAAAGCACUCGACUCUUCAUCUAGGGUCCACAGUGGUUUCAGGUCAAAGGGUGGUAUACACCACUAUCACCAUGAGAAUAACUUAUGACACUUUGCAUAACAUUCUAUGUAGUAUUCUCAUAGCGGGUCAAUCCAGUAUAAAUAUUACUCCUAAUAUUCAUACCUGUGUUUAAGACUUGACAACUCCUUAUCCAUGAUCCAUGAGAUAUGAUCAUCAGUCUAUAUACAUAAUAGUCUUGAUGCUUUAAUGUUAUCCCACUUCACAACAAAGCUCGACUACAGAUACUUUAAGAAUAGUGUCUUUAUGUUUAAUGGGAUCUCAUGAUUAAGUCACACUUGAUACAUUAAAUGGACUAGCUAUUCUAGGGACUUUAUUAAACAAACAUAAUAAAGAAAAAGGCUUUUAAUAUUAAUAAAUAAUUUGAUACAAGUACCAAAAGUAUUGGCCUCUAGGUCUUACACCAACAAUCUCCCACUAGCACUAGAACCAAUCAGGCAUACCCUUAAUACCCAUAGAUCUAGUAUGGCCAUCAUGCUUCUGUUGUGCAAGAGGCUUUGUCAGUGGGCCAAUAAUAUUGUCAAGUGUAGGCACUUUGCAUAUUUUCACAUCUCCUCUAUCUAUUAUCUCUCGAAUGAAGUGAUAACGCCUAAGUAUGUGUUUGGAUCGUUGGUGAGAUCUAGGCUCCUUAGCUUGUGAGAUAGCACCAUUGUUAUCACAAUAGAGAUCAAUGGGAUCCAUAAUGCUAGGAACUAUGCCAAGUUCACUAAUGAACUUUUUUAUCUAACCAGCUUCCUUUGCUGCACUUGAGGCAUCAAUAUACUCGGCCUCGGUUGUAGAAUCAGCAACUGUAUCUUGCUUUGAACUUUUCCAGCUCACAAUGCUACCGUUUAAGAAGAACACAUAACCAGAUUGUGAUCUAAAGUCAUCCUUAUCUAUCUGGAAGCUAGCAUCGGUGUAUCCAAUUACAACAAGCUCCUCCUGACCUCCAUAUAUCAAGAAUGAGUCCUUAGUCAUUCUCAAAUACUUAAGGAUAUUCUUGACAGCUACCCAAUGAGCAUCAUCGGGAUCAGAUUGAUACCUACUUGUUGUACUUAAAACAUACAAUACAUCUGGCCGAGUGCAUAAAAUGGUAUACAUAUAGAUCCUAUUGCAUAUGCAUAUGGAAUCUUAUUCAUGCGGUCCCUUUCUUCCUUAGUUGAAGGGGAUUGUGUUUUUAAUAGACACAUGCCAUGUUGCAUAGGUAUGAAUCCCUUCUUUGAAUCAUGCAUAUUAAAGUGUCUUAGCACUUUGCCUAUGUAUGUACUCUGACUUAGGCCAAGCAGUUUUUGUAAUCUAUCUCUAUAGAUCUUGAUUCCUAAUAUAUAGGCUACUUCACCUAGGUCCUUCAUAGAAAAGCAUUUCCCCAACCAAGUCUUUACUUGUUGUAGGGUAGGGACAUCGUUUCUAAUGAGUAAUAUGUCAUCUACAUAUAAUACCAUGAAGAAGAUCAUGCUCCCACUAACCCUCUUGUAGACAUAAGGCUCAUCUUCAUUCUUGAUGAAUCCAUAUUGUUUUACUGUUUCAUCAAAACAAAGAUUCCAGCUUCUGGAAGCUUGCUUCAAUCCAUAGAUUGAUCUCUGUAACUUGCAUAUCUUUUGGGCUUCUUCUGGUAUGUCAAAUCCUUCAGGUUGUCUCAUGUACACAUCCUCAAGAAGAUUCUCAUUAAGGAAAGCAGUUUUGACAUCCAUCUGCCAUAUUUCAUAAGCAUGACAUGCAGCGAUAGCAAGUAAAAUCCGAACAUAUUUAAGCAUUGCAACUGGUGAAAAGGUUUCAUCAUAGUCAACCCCUUGAAUUUGUUUAUAUCCUUUUGCAACCAGUCUUGCCCUAUAGGUAUUUACCUUACCAUCCAUGCCAGACUUCUUUUUGAAGACCCACUUGCAUCCUAUAGGGUUAACUCCUACAGAAGGCUCUACCAAGGUUCAAACCUGGUUUAUGUACAUGGAAUCCAUUUCAGAUUUCAUGGCUUCUAGCCACUUCUCAAACUCAGAACGAGUUAUGGCCUCUUGGUAGGUCAUAGGCUCAUCUUGAUCCAUGAGUAAUACAUCACCUUGAUUAGUUAUGAGAUAUACAUAUCUCUCAGGUAGGUUACGUAUCCUGCUUGACCUACAAUGGUCUUGUUCUACUUGAGUAGGUUUCUCUUCCACAACUACUUGUGUUUCCUGCUCUAAUUCCUCCAUAGGUGUAUCAAUGCUUUGUGAUUCUUGAAUUUCUUCAAGCUCUACUUUCCUCCCACUAGUUCCUUUGGAAAUAAAAUCCAUGUUUAGGAAUACUCCAGUUUGAGCGAAAAACACUUUGCCCUCAGAAGGAUUAUAGAAGUAAUACCCUCUUGUUUCUUUAGGAUACCCCACAAAUAAGCAUUUGUCAGAUUUGGGCUCAAGCUUAGUUGAAAUUUUUCAUUUCACAUAAACUUCUCAACCCCAAAUCUUCAUGUAAGAUAUAUGUGGUUUCUUACCACUCAAUAUCUCAUAUGGUGUCUUCUCAACUUUUUUGGAUGGAACACAGUUAAGUGUGUAAGCUGCUGUCAAUAGUGCAUGUCCCUAAAAGGAGUUUGGAAGAUCAGUGUGACUCAUCAUGGAUCGGACCAUGUCUAACAAGGUUCAAUUUCUUAUCUCAAAUACACCGUUCCAUUGGGGUGUUCCAGGAGGAGUAAGUUGGGAUAGAAUCCCACACUAUUUCAGAUGGUCAUCAAACUCUAGGCUUAAAUUUUCACCACCUUGAUCUGAUCGAAGAGUUUUAAUAUUCUUACCUAGUUGGUUUUUAACUUCAUUCUUGAAUUCCUUGAACUUUUCAAAGGACCCUGAUUUGUGUUUCAUUAAAUACACAUAACCAUAUCUACUGCAAUCAUUAGUAAAUGUGAUAAAGUACUGAAAACUUCCUCGGACUGGUAUGUUCAGUGGUCCGCAUACAUCAGUAUGUAUGAGGGCCAAAAGACCAUUAGCUCUUUCACCUUUUCCUAUGAAUGGAGACUUUUUCAUCUUUCUAAUUAAACAAGAUCUACAUGUCUCAUAUGGUUCAUAAUCAAAAGAGUCCAAGAGUCCAUCUUUAUGGAGUUUGGAAAUGUGUUUCUCAUUUAUGUGGCCUAAUCGACAAUACCAAAGGUAAGUUGGAUUUAACUCAUUAGGUUUCAUCCUUUUAGUAAUGUGUUUCUCAUUUAUGUGGCCUAAUCGACAAUACCAAAGGUAAGUUGGAUUUAACUCAUUAGGUUUCAUCCUUUUAGUAUUAAUGUUAUAAAUAGGCAUUUCAAGAUCAAGGACAUAUAGUCCAUUAUUCAUUUGUACAGUAGCAUAGAAUAUAUCAUUCAAAUAAAUGGAGCAACAAUUGUUCUUUAUUAUGAAUGAAAAACCAAACUUGUCCAAACAAGAAACGAAAAUAAUAUUCUUGCUAAUUGCAGGUACAUAAUAACAGUUCUCUAACUGAAUUAUUAAACCACUAGGUAAAGUCAAUACAUAAGUUCCUACAGCUUAAUUAGCAAUCUUUUCUCCAUUGCCAACUCGUAGGUCAACUUCACCUUUUUCCAAAUCUUUACUCCUUUUUAGCCCCUACACAUUGGUACAAAUGUGAGAACCGCAUCCAGUAUCUAAUACUUAUGAUGCAGAAGUAGCUAGAUUAAUUUCAAUAACAAAAAUACCUGAAGUUGGAGUCUCUACUCCAUUCUUCUUAUCUUCUAGGUACUUUUGGCAGUUUCUCUUCCAGUGUUCGGUCUUAUCGCAAUGGAAGAAAGUGUCAUCCUUUGUUAUGCAUCCACUAGGCUUCAAAGCAGGAGCAGUGGGUUUGGGUUUGGCAACUUCCUUGCCUUUCCUUUUACCACCCUACUUGGUGGGUCUUUUGUUCUGUUUUUUUCCAUUUCCGAUCAUCAGAAUGGACUUCCCUUUUGACUUCAGAUUCUUCUCAACAACUCUUAACAUGCCUAGCAGUUCAGGAAGAGUUUUGUCCAUAUCGUUCAUGUUGAAAUUAAGGACAAAUUGAUUGAAGCCCUCUGGCAAUGAUUGCAAGAUCAAAUCAGUCGCAAGUUCCUUUCUGAGGGGAAAACCCAACCUCUCAAGGUUCUCCAUAUACCCAAUCAUCUUGAGCACAUGGAGACCUACAGGGGCUCCCUCGGCUACCUUGCCUUGAAAAGGGGUUUUUGAAACUUCAAACCUUUCAUGCCUUUCAUGCUCUUGAUAGAGUGAUCAGAAAAAUAGCAAGUGUAUUAUUUUGCCUUUUAUAGUAAUAAAGGGGAAAUUCCCCGAAUGUCGAUCUCAGGGACUACGUGUAAAUAUCGAGUGCAAAUAAUUGUUCAAUUAAACAAAAAAUUAUUGUUGGGGUUUUAGAUUCAAUCUUAUAAAAAUAAGGGCAACUAAAAUAAAUAAUACUAUAAAAAUAAGGGGUUCAAGGAAAAAGGAACAUGCCAGGGAAGGUGUAUAAUUUGUCCAUGUAAUAACUCUGAGUCACUAUUGCUUCAACAAAUAUCAAUUAACUACUACUAGUACUCAAGAGUAUUUUCUCCCAAGGCCUUGGUGAUAAAACCUUUAAUCAUUCAACCCUAAUCUCUAUGUCCAUAAGAAAUUACCGGUGAAAUUAAGCCUUAUUAUAUCAAGAAUCCUCUGGUCAUACAGGGUAUCCCUAGUCCUAGGUGAUAUCUACUGCUGAGUAAUCAUAUGAAAACCUCAUCAACGGUGGUCCAUCCUAAUUGAUAAUCAUACAACAAUCUUAAUUGUUCCGAAAGAGGAAGCAUUAAACACAUCAAAAAUUACCGUAAUCAUGAAAAACAAUAUUGUCAAUGCAAUCGCAAACUCAAAGUCAUUACAGGUAUAAAUUAGGGACACACCAUAGCAUUCGGGGGUUUAGCUACUCAUAUUGUUCAAAACAGAUCCAAGAUAAAAAUUAGACAUUACAAGUAAUUGGAUGACUUGGAUCUUCAAUUGCUUCCGCUCAUGAAAAUCUCCCGCUCUCCGAAUUCCUUGAUCUUUGUAAUUCUUGAUCGUUUGACAAUACUCCGUGCUCUGUUUUCUCCUUGCCAAAAAGUGUCCUUCUUUCCUCGUAGAAACUCUUCUAAAAUAGUGAAAAUCCCUUAGCUUUGGUUGGAAAUCCCCAGAACGCCCUUGCUGUUCAAGUCUGGAUAAAAGCCCAAAACUAAAAUAAUUAGCGUCUAGGCUAACACGAUCGGUAUCAGCUGACACGGGUGGCCAUGUCACACCACUGCCUUGGCCAUCAUCUUUUGUUUCAUCUCAGGUGGGCUGACACGGGUGUCCGUGUCACGCUUUUGUCUUCCUUCCCUUGCAGCCUCGUUUAGCUCUCCUCUUGACACGGUCUGUGUCAGGUGACAUGGGUGGUCGUGUCAGGCUUCCUGUAACUUCAUAAUUUCUUUCCUUAAACGCUGAAAUUCUCGACUUUCUUGCAUUGAGUCAGUUGGAUAUUCUACUUGGACCCAGAGAGAAUAAAAAUAGACAACCAAAGCAUAAAAUCCAGAAAACACGAAAUAAAACUAAAAAUUGAUAAAAUGCUUAAUAAACUUACAGAAAUAAAAACUAACUUGAAAGGUAACAUAAUGGAAACAAAGUAUUCCAGAACCCUUGGCUUCUUGUCGAAUAAGUGAUGAAAAUACAGUAAAAAUGGUGACCGAUCACAACCCCAAACUUAGCUCAUUACUUGUCCUCAUGUAAUGUUCUAAACGAUAGAGUGUGUCGCUUCCCAAAACUGAAAUUUUCUUACCACAAUACUGCUAAGAUCUUUCGCCACACGCCUUCACUUUUUCUUUCAUAGUCCCUACUUUCCCUAAUUGAUUUCUGCCACACUUCCACAUAGAUGCACUGCUUCACCUAUCAUCUUAUAUCACACUCUCGCCAAUUCUCUCCGGAUUAAAGUGUUUACACUCACAUUUCAGAAUAUGCAGUAUCGAUUCAUAAAUUUGAAUAGAUUGACCUUUCGCAUCAACUACACAUAACACACACUUUUUGAGAUGUUUCGGGUUGUAACAUGGCUUGGGUUACGGUGGGGUAAAUACAAACAAAGGGAAAAACAAAUAGUUUUGGGUUCAGAGUCAAUGUCAUUAUUAUUUUCAUUGUGUUUGUUCUAACAUAUCAUUUCCUUUCUUUUCUUUUUCAAUUCUCUUACUCAGUUCUUUUUUUCUUUGAUUUUUUAUACCCAACUGAGUGUUUCUCAUUCGGUGAAUGCUUUUCUCGUUCCAUCAAAUUUCUCUUUUCUUUUGUUUCCUUUUUUUUUCGAUAGUCGUUUUUCUUAGUCUUUUUCCACACUCACCUGACUUUCAGAUACUUAUGGGGUUACCCCAAACUUAGAAUUGAACACAGCUUAAAGAACAUAACAUUUCCUCUGAACAGGGUACGAAAGUGUUUGGGCCGUGAGGUAAAUUCAUGUGGUUAUAUAUACAAACAAAGGGUACAAGCUCAAACGUGGUUAACAAGGGAUAAUAUUAAAGGGAUAACUAGAAAGGCUUAGGGCUUAUAAUUCAAAUAAAGUGCCUCAGUGUGUGUAUACAUGUAGUGAUAUUCCAAGAGAACUUAGACAAACUCAGAGUGAUAAAGACAUACCUGAACUGCUGAACAUCGCUCAUGAUGAAAAAUGUGUUUGGCUUUUAUGAGCUCACCAUGUUAGGUAAAGCUUAACAGAUUCCAAAGUACCUCUAGUAUGGUGCAACUUCUUACUCAACUUGGGAUGCACAGGGAUCCUAUGUCAAUCAAGCUUGAGACAAUUGCGUCUGAUCCUUUUCUUCAGCAAUAUCAAAUUUUUUGGAGGAUCAUUCAGCAACAAGAAACAGUAAGUGGAGUGAUCAUUUCAUCCACUACCACUAAUGAUCAUCACCUAAUCUAACAAUAACACCAAGAACCUGAAAUACAUGCAACAAAUGAUACCCAACAGUAACAGACAAACAAAAUUUAAAACAAUAAACAAAAUGGGAAAGAAUAAAAAAACCAUAAAAACCAAAAGCAUAAUUAAACCUCCCCCGCGCUUGAACUAAACAUUGACCCCAACGUUUUAGAACACGAUAGAGGAGGGUGACUCACAGUGCCAUACUGAGGAGGCUGGGGCGGAAAGUGCAACAUCAAUUGUCGCAUCAUCAGGUUCAUCUAAUCCAAAAUAUUCCCUUGUCGAGCCUACUCGAUCCCUUGUCUUGAUUGCUCAGUUCUAAGGUCACCAAGCUUGGUUUGUACCCAUGCCCACUGGUCUUGAUUCAUGGACGAUGAUCCGACACCCUGUUGGGUUGGCUCUUGGGGAGGGGUACAAACGGCUCCUAAUGCUGAGUGUCUUCAUGCAUAGGUUCACCUGCAACCAUAUUUUCAACAUCGUAGCCUUCCUCUUCAUCAUGGUCAGCACUCACAUACAACUAGUUCGCAUAAUCGACAAUACUGUCUUUGUCAGGGUUAGGUAAUGCAAUGAUAAACCUUUUAUGGAUCAUCAUAGAGUAAUAAUUAUGAGCAAUAGAAAUUAUACCUUGUUGAAUGAUAGAUGACUUAUCAAUUUUUGUCUUACCUACUAUAGGGGUCUCCUUAAGCAAGAUCGCAUGAUAACCAAAAUGUUCAGCAAUAUGGGUAAUCAUGCCCUCAGCAGAAAUACCACCGGAGUCUGCCCGACCAACUCUUCCCAAAUAGUCAGCUGCAAAGGCAACGACAUUGAUGGAUUGAUUCUGUGCCAUAGAGUACAGGAAAAACAACUCCAUCUGAGUUGCCACACCCGUGCUAUCACCCUGUCCAAAUAGAGUAUGUGUCAGACCUUUUUGGGCAUAACAUAAAUAAGGGUUCUGAAUUCCUGAGGCCUUUGCACCUUUAGAGGUGUAAUCAGUCCUCCCUGUAAUAGCAGUCCAAAAAUCUUAUGGAACAAACCCUUCAGGGACCGCACCAGGUCUAUACAGUGGGAGUCGGAGGAUACCAUCCAACUCAUCGACAGAUAACUCAUGAUGUUAAGAGUCCAACAUCAGACAAUAUAUGGCCUGAACAUGAGUUUAUAAGUGGGGACAUCCCUCACUCUACCAACCGGUUUUGUAGGGUUGAGUUAGGCCCAACCACAUUUCUUAACAUGGUAUCAGAGCCUGGUUUAAGAUUCGGUGGGCCACCUACUAUGGUUUCCGCUAUCGGGCCACCCACUAAGAGACAUUUGAAUAAACCGUGUGUUUUGAAAAGCACUACGGAGACUUUAUUAUAUAUAGAGAGAUUAUAACUAAUUACAUGAUAUAGUCGAUGUGGGACUAUUCGAUAUACAAAUAUUCUUAACUACGGAGACUUUAUUAUAUAUAGAGAGAUUAUAACUAAUUACAUGAUAUAGUCGAUGUGGGACUAUUCGAUAUACAAAUAUUCUUAAUAUUAUAUUUACAAAUAUCAACACUCCCCCUCAAGCUUGCGCAUAUAAGUCAAAUGCACCAAGCUUGUUACAUAUAUAAUUAAUUCUGGGGCUUCGCAGAGAUUUUGUAAACACGUCUGCCAAUUGAUCAUUAGUGUUGACAAAGUUUGUGACGAUGCCACCUGAUUCAAUUUUCUCUCUGACAAAGUGACAGUCUAUCUCAAUAUGUUUGGUCCUCUCAUGGAAGACUGGAUUUGAAGCAAUGUGCAAUGAGGCUUGAUUAUCACAAAUAAGUGUCAUUGGUCUUGCUUCUUCAAUUUGAAGUUCCUUGAGCAACUGUUUUAACCAAAUAAGUUCACAUGUUGCCAUUGCCAUGGUCUUAUACUCUGCCUCGGUGCUUGAUCUUGCAACUACGUUUUGUUUCUUACUUUUCCAAGAUAUAAGGUUUCCUCCAACAAGUACACAAUACCCAGAGGUGGAUCGUCUAUCAAUGGGUGACCCUGCCCAAUCAGCAUCGGAGUAUCCAACUAUCUGAGUAUGUCCUUUAUUUUCAUAGACUAGACCUUUUCCUGGAGCACGUUUGAUGUAUCUCAGAAUCCGGAUAACAACAUCCAUGUGUUCCUGACAAGGGGAGUUUAAGAACUGACUUACUACACUAACUGCAAAAGAAAUGUCUGGACGAGUGACUGUGAGAUAAUUCAACUUUCCAACCAAUCUUCUAUACCUUCCACUCAGUCUAUCUCCGAGGGGGACUAACCCAUCAUCAAACUGACCUGGAUCCAUAGGAGUAUCAGCUGGUUUAGCAUUCAACAAACAUGUUUCUUCCAAAAUAUCCAUAGCAUAUUUCCAUUGAGAAAUCACUAAACCAUCUAUAGAUUCGGCUACCUCAAUACCCAAGAAAUAACAAAGUUUACCAAGAUCUUUUGUCUGAAAUUGAUUUAAGAGAUGUUGCUUUAACUUGAGUAUACCCUGCUGAUCACUACCAGUUAUGACAAUAUCAUCUAAAUACAUAAUAAGAUAAAUACACCCUUGGGCUGAGUGACGAUAAAAAACAGAAUGGUCAGCUUCACUACGGACCAUACCAAACUGUUGUACUACAAUGUUGAAUCUGCCGAACCAAACUCUCCGAGACUGCUUAAGACCAUAAAGAGACAUGUGUAACCUACACACCAUAUUCGAUGACUCCCCCUGAGCAACAAAUCCAGGUGGUUGAUCCAUAUAUACUUCCUCUUCAAGAUCACCAUGUAAAAAAGCAUUUUUGAUGUCAAUUUGAUGAAGAGACCAAUGUUGAAUGGUUGCAAUGGCUAGAAGAAGUCUAUCAGAUGCCAUCUUGGCUACAGGCGAUAAGGUAUCACUAUAAUCCAAUCCAAAAAUCUGAGUGUAUCCUUUGGCUACCAAGCGAGCUUUAAAUCGAUCAAUCUUACCAUCUGGACCAACCUUCACUGUAUAAAGCCAACGACAACCUACUAAAGACUAUAAUCCAAUCCAAAAAUCUGAGUGUAUCCUUUGGCUACCAAGCGAGCUUUAAAUCGAUCAAUCUUACCAUCUGGACCAACCUUCACUGUAUAAAGCCAACGACAACCUACUAAAGAUUUCCCAUAGGGUAGAGGAACCAGUUCCCAGGUACCACUGCUUUGAAGAGCACACAUUUCAUCAAUCAUUGCUUGCCUCCACUCAGGGUGAGACAAUGUUUCACAUGGAGUUUUAGGAAUAGAAACAGAAGACAAAGAAUACAAACAAGUAUACUGCAAAGGGGAAAGACGAUGGUAACAUAAAUCAAUAUAAGGUGGAGAAGGAUUCCAUGUUUGACAUAUACCUUUUCGAAGGGAAAUCGGAAGAUCGAACUUAGGUUGCAGGAUCAUAUCCGGUGAUGGCGGAGGCGUCGGAGGAGAGUCUGCAAUGACCUCAGGGACAGGUAUGACCCCAGGGAUAGGUAUGACCUCAGGGACAGGGACGACAGGCGUUAGGUGAUGACGCUGAUAUGUUUGAAAUGGUCGAGAAGUGGGUGGGUCAGGAGCCCUAGACUGAUGGGGGAUAAUGGUAGGCGGGACAUUAAUAACUGCCGGAAAAGGUAAGGGAGUACUUUCUUGAAUGGCUUCUGGAGUUACGUGACUGGACUCGAAAUAUGGAACCGACUAAAAGAAGGUAACAUCGGCCGAUACUAGGUAUCAUUGUAGAGUAUGUGAAUAACAACGAUAACCUUUUUGGGAUCGAUGAUAACCAAGAAAGACACACUUUAGUGAUCGAGUUGAGAGUUUAUCAAGACUAGGAGAGAAAUUGUGUACAAAACAUGUGGACCCGAAGACUCGGGGAGGAAUUGGGUGAAGUGGGGAAUUGGGAAAAAGGAUUGAAUGAGGGAUUUUAUUGUUAAGGACAGAUGAGGGCAUGCGAUUUAUAAGAUAAAUGUGGACCCGAAGACUCGGGGAGGAAUUGGGUGAAGUGGGGAAUUGGGAAAAAGGAUUGAAUGAGGGAUUUUAUUGUUAAGGACAGAUGAGGGCAUGCGAUUUAUAAGAUAACAUGUCGUUAGCACAAUAUCCCCCCAAAACCGAAGUGGAACAUUACCAUGGAGAAGUAGGGUCCGAGUGGUUUCUACAAGAUACCGGUUUUUGCGUUCGGCUACCCCGUUUUAUUGAGGUGUAUGAGGGCAAGAUGUUUGAUGGAGAAUACCAUUGCGUGACAUGAAAUUCUGAAAUUGUUGGGAUAAAUAUUCACGGGCAUUGUCACUUCUUAAGGUACGGAUAGACACAUCGAAUUGAGUUCUUAUUUCUUGAUAGAAUUGUUCAAAAAUAAAAAAUAAUUCAGAUAUAUUCUUUAUUAAGAAUAACCACGUGAAACGUGAAAAAUCAUCAAUAAAGGUGACAAAAUACCUAGACUCAAGAGUAGAGACAGUACGCGAGGGACCCCAAACAUCGGUGUGAACUAAAGCAAAAGGGGACGAAGCUCGUUUAUUGACUCGAUUAGGAAACUGACCACGAGUGUGUUUCCCUAGCUGACACGACUCACAAUGUAAGUUAGAUACCUUCGAUAAAUUUGGAAGCAACUUAUGUAGUUUGGAAAGACUGGGAUGACCUAACUGAGCAUGGAUAGUGAGUAGAGAAUCUUUGGCUGAGCAUGUCUGAGAUGACACUGAAAGGUAAUAAAGGCCUUAAGACUCACAUCCGACACCAAUCGUCCGUCCUGAACUCCGAUCCUGCAGGGUAACAUUAUUAUUAGUGAAGGUGACACUAAAAUCAAGAGAAUCAGUUAAACGACUGACUGAAAGUAAAUUAAAUGGACAAUUAGGUACAUAGAGGAUAAAAGUAACCUAGAGAGAAGGUAGAAUUCGAACAAUACCAAUCCCUUCGGAUCGGGUUUGAGAACCAUUGGCAGAAGUUAUAGUAGGUAAGAAACCGGAUGUAGAGAGGGAAGAGAAAAUAUUUUAUUACCGAUAAUAUGAUCAGACGCACCAGAAUCAAGGACCCAAGAUCCAAGAGAAGAUGAUUGAGAGAGACAAGCAGAUGAAUUACCAGUGUGUGCUACCUAAGCAGUAGAAUCUAAGUUCUUAUAAUUCUGAUACCACCUGAGGAAAUCAUCGUAGUUUGGCGUAAAGUUAUGAGGAGUAGCCAUGAGUAUCGGAUCAGAAACAAUUUCCCUAUGGAGAGUGAAGCGGUGGAAAAAUUGUCGGGAUCGGUCGUUAGACGUGCUGUCACGUGCGGAGGUUUCUGCCGAUGAAAAGUGGGGAACGACUGGAUCAGAAGAGGCACUUCUGCUGGUAGGUUACCGUAGAAUUUUGAAAAGUGAGAAGCAAACUGGAGUGAUGACACGGUUUGUAAAAAGAAAAAUUCUCACCGGAAGACAGUGGGUCAACCGGGUAAAGCACGACGAAGAAAGAAUUUCCACUUAGCAGACUCUAGAUACCAUGUUGAAAUACAAGAGACUAAGAGACAUUUGAAUAAACCGUGUGUUUUGAAAAGCACUAUGGAGACUUUAUUAUAUAUAUAGAGAUUAUAACUAAUUACAUGAUAUAGUUGAUGUGGGACUAUUCGAUAUACAAAUAUUCUUAAUAUUAUAUUUACAAAUAUCAACACAUGAUAAUUAUUAAAAAUACAGAAUCAGAGAGUACCAUAGUAGUACCUCAUAGUGUCAAUCCAUCGUUUUUCCAGUUGGAACUCAAGUGUACUUAAAAAUUCAAGCGUGAUGCGCUCAUAAGUAGGUGCCUCGAGACUUAUGAAUUCCAACAUACCCAACACAUGGAACAUCCUGUAAAUUUCAAUCUUUAAGCCUAAGUCAUGAAGGCUUGUUCACACAUGUACCUUAUGGGGGUUAACUUCCGCUUUCUAUGAAUAAAGUAUCGUCGCUCCUGCUCCAGAUUAUCGAAGACAAUGUUGUGCGGGUUCGGAUUACGGCUGCUCCUCUUCCAUGGUCUUGAGGUCUCAACCAUUUGUUGCUUCCCUUGAACAAUCCUCCUCGGGGGCAUUUUCGUACCUGCAAAAAUUUAGAGAAAUUCAAAAUUGAAAUUCGAAAAAACUGACACCGUGGAUGUGAUGAGGGUGAAAAUUGGUGAAGGAUUUGUGAAGGGAGUUUUUGAUUUGGGGUUGAUAUGGUGGUAAAUGUGGAAGCUUUUUGGGGAGGUUUUAAUGGAAGUGUAGGUUUUUGAGAGAGAGAGAGAGAGAGAGAGAGAGAGAGAGAGAGAGAGAGAGAAUAAAUGUGGAAGCUUUUUGGGGAGGUUUUAAUGGAAGUGUAGGUUUUUGAGAGAGAGAGAGAGAGAGAGAGAGAGAGAGAGAGAGAGAGAGAGAGAUGGUGGAGAAGAUAAGGUUUGUGAGAGAUAAUGAGCGGAGAAUGAGUGGAAAUCAGAUUUUGGAAUGUGUUAAGUGGGUGUAAUGAGUGGUUAUUGGGCUUUAAUGAGGGGUGGGGUCCACACGAGCAUCCAAACAACUUUCACAAUUUCAAAUCCGCAGGCCUGACACGGGCGGCUGUGUCAGGAUGUUGUAAGUCCAAUUUUUGACCAGUAUCCUUCAGUGGUCCUAACACGGGUCGUGUCAGGCCUCUGCUAAUAUGAACUUUUUCUCUUUCCUUCAGUGCUCCUGACACAAGCCGUGUCAAGCACCACGACUGUCUGUGUCAGGUUGUUGUUACUCCCCUUGUACCUGACACGGUCCAUGUCAGCUGAUACGGGUGGCCGUGUCAGGUGGCUGGUUGGGCUUCAAAAAAAUUCUUCUCUCUUUUAUUCAUAUUUGGUCUACCCUCCCGGUAUAACUUCUGCAUUAACGUGAGUGCCUCCGCCCUUUUAUGCAGGGCACUGUGCAUACCUGAACAACCUAAAACACCAAACAAAGACAAUAAUUAGAAAUAAAAAUGGGUGGGUUAUGUCCCACGAAGCGCUUCGUUUAACGUCACAUGGCUCGAUGGUUUACCACAUUAUCCGUGUCGAUAAACAUUCUUUACUAGGCCAAUUCCUCGUCCUUGAGGAUAAGGCUUCUCCUUAUUUAUUUUUACUUUUGGACUGGAACUAGGAAUUUUUUCAUUCAGAGUUGCUAAUGGAGGUGGUGAUAGUUGAGGAAGCCUUCUUGCAUCUUUUUCUGAUGUUGGUAUGUUACUUUGCCUUCUCACAUCUGUCCUGAUCAUGCUAACUUGAUAGUGAUGUUCUUUUUCUACCUCUAUUUUCCCGUUUUCAAUAGCAUUCAAUGUUAUUUCAUUAUCAUAAACUUUUAAAGUUAAUGUGCCCUAGUCCAUGUCGAGAUUGCAUCGACUUGUCCGCAUGAGUGGUCGACCAAGAAUGAUAGGAGUCUCUUCAUCUUCAGGUAUGUCUAUGAUCACAAAAUCAACAGGAAACCUCAAUUCCCCUAUUGUCACCAGUACGUCUUCUGCUAUCCCAUAUGCAUUCUUUAUCGAAUGAUCCGUAAACUUCAGAUUUGUCCUUGUAUCACUAACAUUUUCAAUUCCCAACCUGUGAUAGAUUAAUAAUGGCAUCAGACUCACACUAUCUCCAGAACCAAUUAGUACCUUUUUGAAAGUUCUCUCUUUUAUUAUCCAUGAUACUGUGACCGUUCCAGGAUCCUUAUGUUUGUUUGGAAUUCUCUGGCCUAGUGAUAUUGCACUAUACUUUUCCUUCCAGGUUAUCGGUUCUUCUGUUGUUGGCCUCUUUUAGGCGGUUACCUCGUCCAUGAAUUUUGUGUACAUGGGCAUUUGCUCGAUUGCUUCAAACAAAGGCAUAUGACUCUCUAUCUUUUUGAACAUUGUCAUGAAUUUCUCAAAGUCUGUCUCUCUUGGAUCCUUCUUUGUCACUCUCUAAGGGUAGGGUAACUUAAUCACCAGUUUAGUCUCCUUUUUAUUUUUCUCUUCAGGUGGCUUUCCAGGUGGUAUAACUUUUUCGUCUUUAGCGGCCUUCUCACUUCUCUUCGUGACAACAUCAACAUUCUCAUGAUUUCUUGGAUUUUGAACUAUUUCACUUGGUAAGGAACCUGGUGUUCGAGAACUUGCUAUUUGUUGUGCUAUCUGAACUUCAAAAAAAUUUAUAGAGGCUGUGGUGUUUUUAUGAUGGUUUCUAGUCUCUUCUUGGAAUUGCAUAUUGUGAGCGGCCAUUUUUUUAAUGGCAAUCUCAGUCUGCUUUCGUUGGAGCUUCUUGUUGUUGUUGUUGUUGAUAUUGAGUUUGAUAUCGAACUUGACCCUGUUGUGGAACAUUCCCUCUUUGAUCUUUCCAGGAGAAGUUUGAAUGAUUCUUCUAACCUAGAUUGUAUGUGUUGGAGUAGGGAUUAUUCAGCUUCAAAAGUUUUAUCACUUCAAUUUGUUGAGGGGUUGCAAAGCAAUAUACUGUGUGGUGUGAUCCAUUACAAAUUUCACAAGUGAUGGUCUAAGCAGGUUGAACUUGAGCUACUUGUUGAGUACCUAUAUUCAUAGCUUUUAACUUCUUUUCCACUUCAGUAGCUAUUGUAUCUUCCAACCGGAUUUUAUUAGUUUAUAGCUUCAGAUCAAUAACUCCCUGCGGUUUGCUCGUACACCUAUCAUACAAUUCCAUAUGCUCAUUUGCAUCUAUAGCUUCAAUAAUCUUUUUAAUACCGGUGGCUGUUGAGAAAUUUGUUGAGCCACCAACUGCUAUAUCAAUAAACUAUUUUGUCUUUAUUUUGAGACCAUUAACAAACAUCUGCAUCUGUUUAGUCUGAUCCAUAUUAUGAGUUGGGCAAGAUACCAGGACCCUUUUGAAUCUUUUGUAGGCAUCUCCCAAACAAUCACCCUCCUUCUAUUUGAAGUUCAAGAUAUCAUACCUUUUUCUCAGAAAUACCUGUAAGACCCUAGUUUCGACCCUAAGAUCCCUCAUGCUAUCUCAUCAUAUGCAUUAGCUUUGGGAUCACACCUUGGCAUCCUCCUUACCCCUCAUUCAUUGGGUUUGCAUUGGGAGAGGUCACCAAGGACAUUUUAUUGUAUCAUACUUUAUUUGUCUUUUGUACUAACCAAAAUGCCAAAAAAUAUGUCUAUGUAUAGCUUUGUUUCUUUUGUAGGUAGUGUGAGCAUCCACCAAUGCCUCAUCAAGCUUAUAUUUAGGGUUUAAGACCCUCAAUGCAAGGAGAAUAAUCAAGAGAUGUUUAAUAUUGAUUAUAUACAUCAUAUAUGAAUCCCCAUGUUCCUCAUUUAUCAUUUAGAUCAAGAAUUCAUCAAGGGUUUGACGCUUGUUUGCCUUGGAAGCCUAAAUUCAUCUAGGUAUCUUGUGUGACUUCCUCAACACAUUUCUUCAAAAUUGGUCUAAUAUUUCAAGGAAUACUUCAUAUUACAUCAUCUUAUGCAUAUAUGAUCCUCCACGAGUCCAAGAGAUCAAGAAAACUUCAAAUUUGCAAGUUGGUUCAUGGUGGUUGACCAGAGAAAGUCAACUAGUCAAAAUCGGGGUUCCCUAGACCCUAUCACAUGAAAAUGACUCCAAGAGAAACGUUACUCCUUAUGGCACUCCAAACAACUUUCAUGUUAAAGUCAAGAUCUAGUUUUGCUUGGAAAGUCAUUUUUUAUGGUGAAAUAUUAUAGGUCAUUUUGUUUGAACCCUAGUUGGGAGGUCAACUUCCAAGGACCAUAACUUGCUCAAUUUUUAUGAGAUGAAGGAAAUCCAAGUUUAAUUAUCAAAUUCAAGAUGUCCUCUCCAACGUUUAUUCUUGGAAUAAAUUCAAAUUCAACUUGCAAGGGCAUGUGCCAAGAAGAAACAUUAUAGGUCACUUUAGGCCAUUACCAUUGAACAAGAGAUUUUCCUCAACUUCUAAAAUGCAUAAAUCCUUCAUGACAAAUCCAAGUGAGGUCAAAUUUGUAACCAUAUUGAAUAAGUUUGAAAGAUCUACAACUUUGAUGAAGGAACGUUUUCCAUUUGAAACCCAUAGCAAAAGUUAUUCAAGGUGGAAGAAGUGAACAUUUGGCUUGGUACUUAGAAAAUUUUCAUUUAUGUUUGAUUUUCCAAACUUACACCUCAAAAUUCAUCAUGAUCCAAGAUUCAAAUGGAAAAGUGUUCAACAUGAAACUUGUUCCCCUUGAUCUCACCUUUCUAAAAAAUUAAAGAUCAUCUCAUUUGGCCAAGAAUUGGAUGACUUGCGCAUGGCUUCUCUUCAAGGCUCCAUUUGGAUGAAUCUCAUGUUCACAUUCCAAUUUCCAUUACAUGAUCACAUGACACACUUUCAGCAUUACACAUGAUGAAAUUUGGACCUGAUUACAUAAUUUCAUGAUCCUAUCACAUGCCCAUGCAACCAUGCAAGUGAAGUUUGCUAUUUUUGGCAUUUUGAUGAAAGGGUGUGAAACCAAUUGCAUAGCCUAUAAAUAAGACCCCUCAUGCUCAGAAUUAUGGACACCUUACCCAAGCUUUGAGCUUGCAAUCUUAACCCUCACCAUUAGAGGAUAAACUUGAAGGUUUUCAAUUGAAAAUCGAGUUUCAAUUUCACUUCAGUUUUGAAGUUGAAACUCCAAGAAUCCAAGCCUUUCUUUGAUCUAAUUCAACUCCUGCAUGUUUCUGAAGGCAAGCCAAGGCCAAUUGGAAGCAAGAUCAAGCAAGGUUCAAGCUCCCUCAAAGGUGAAUUUUCAAAAACUUCAUCUCUUCGAUCCUCUCUCAAUUCUUCACCAUUCUCUUUGAUUUUUGGUUGGCUAAAGUCCUAUCAAUGUAGGCAACACGAUUGAGUUGCUUUGAGGUUAAAUCGAAGCAACUCAGUUCAUGAUCCUCUAAAUUCAAAUCCCUGUAUCUUUUUAUAUACUUGGAAUUGGAUAAAAAUUGAGUCCAGAUUCGAGAUCCUGAGCAUUUUCUCUUUGAUAUAGUGUCCUUGUUUUUCAUUUUCCAUUGAGAUGAAGUUGGACCAAUCCAGUGAAGGUCACUAGAGAAGAUGACUGGAGCCCUAACUUCGGUGGUUUAUUGGCACACCUCCUGGCCAUCUGAUCAUGUUUGAAUGGUUUAAUCUGAGCCAAUGCCUUUGAUUACCACGCGUACAUCAUGUUGACUCAAGACUACCAUGGAUAGCGCGCAUGUGGCCAUCAGAUCUGCCACCUCAAUUAAUGAGGGAGAUCUGAUGGCCCUUGUUUUUUCUUAUUUUAUUUUAAUUUCUGAUUUUAUGUUUAAUCCUUUUAUUUUGUUUAAUUCAUAUUAAUUUCAAUUUUAUUCCAAAAAAUAUGGGACUUUCGCCAAAAAUCUUUAAUAUUUUUCUCUUUGAUAUUCUGAAUUAAAAUUAUUUUUUCGAUUAUUUUUGAUAUUUUUCAUGAAUUAAAUGUUUUUGUGCAUAUUUUUAAUUGUUUAAAAAUACUUCUUACUUUUCAAAAAUCAUGAAAUUUUUUGUCUAAGGUCCUUUGACCUUGUUUGACCUAGGAUAAAUUCCUUGGCCAUUUAUUUGGUGUUUUGAAGGGAUUUUAGGUUUUGACCAAAUUAAAAUGCAUUUUAAUUCACUUUUAAUUGGAUUUUUUAAUUGAUUAAAUGCUUAAAAAAAUUGUUGAGCCAUUUUUAUGGUCUUGUGAUGUUUGACUUUCUGUUUGGGCCUUGGUCAAGGUUAAUUUGACUUUUGUUGGAUCAAAACCAUUGGAUUUAGGGGAUUGAUGAAAUAUACAUUUAAUCUCCCAAAAUGAAUGGAUGGUUUUGAUUUGAUGAAAUUCCUCCCAUGACCAAUUUGUGUUUCUAUCUUCCCCUCUCUCUUCAUCUUCAUCCCUAUUCUUCCUCAUUCCUUCAUUUGACCAAUGAAAUCUCUAAUGUCUUAAGGCUAAUUGGUUCAUCAAUGGCCUUGUGUUAGAUGAACCAAUACAAGUAUGAUUGAGAUAGGUCCCUCCCUCUUGAUCUUUUCUUUUAGUGUGUAGUAUAUUUUAGGAGUUUGGUUCUUUGUACCAAAUCUCUAACAUGCAUUAACACCUAAAUUCUUAUUUCCCGAACUCAGAUAGUUAUGACUUCUACAUAAGUCCAAUUACGAUUGCUUAACAUAGAGCUGAAUUUGACCCUAAUGGCAUAUCAUUCUAGUAAGUGAGAUUGUAAGUCUCCUAUUCUUCAUGACAUUGUAUUGAGACUUGACCUUUUUUCCUUUCAUGAUAGCUAGUGGCAUACUUGUUGAAUUAUCCAAGUUGGAGCCCUUCUCAUGGAAGAUGUCUUAGUUUAAGGAUUCAUACUUGUGAAUGGAUGGUUGAGUGUUCUCUAAACAAUGACUUAAUCAAUUAAAAAUCACCAUUAACUUUUGACUAACAUUUGACUAACUCUUGUUAAUAUUGCUUUACUUUCAAGUCAUUUACUUUAUGCAAUUUAAAUUUUAGUCAUUUAUCAUUCAUUGCCAUUUACAUUUCAUAUAACUUGUUUAUGUUUAUGUCAUUUUCUCUUUGCUCAUUUGAGCCAUAUCUUGUGAUUGCAUAUAUUGUUUGUGUGUUUUGACUUUGUUUGUGGUUUAGGACCCUAAAACACCUAAUAAACAAUAAAAACCCUAAAAAACAUCUAGUGGAUUGUUGAUCUUGAUUUGGACUCUUGGACUUAGAAUUAGGCAGCAUUCCCUGUGCAAAAAGGACUUGGCCAAUGCCAACAUUUUGAGACCAAGCUAUUAUGGACUGAGCCUUCAUCUGAUGCAAGCCUUGGAUCUUGUCUGAAUUCAUCUGCUACUCUAUCUUUGUGCUAAUUGUUAUUUUGACCUUGUGUCUGAUGCUUUGCUUUGAGUUGACAAGGAAUAUUUCAUCUGAUACAUGAGAAGACAAAGAAGAUUGCUAGCUAUGGGAAUUUCUUGCUUGGAUAUGGCUAUCUUUAUUUGAUGCCUUGAUCUUCAUGAUGUCUGGAUAUUACUUAUUUGCUUAUUGCUUGUUACUUGUCAAAGUCCAAAGAGAAAGUGGGGUUUCUAUAUGACAUUGUUGUCUGUCGGAUUGCAUCCCAUUGGUCAGAUCUUUUAAACUCUUAACGUUUAAUUUGUGCUUAGGAUAACCUCUUCAUCUCCUCCCACUUCUUAAAUUUAAAAUCUCUCCCUCUUUUUCAAAAACCUUCUUUGCUUGUGAUUUCAAAUUCAGACUUUGUUUUAAUGAUUAGAAACUUUUGCCUUAUGCCAAUGAAUUUUCAAACCCUUUCCUAAAGUAAACUUGUAAAUAAACUUAAUCAUAUUGACUUAAAAUUUCAAAAGACGAAAAGAACUAACAACUCCAUUCAAACUUUUGGCCCUUUAUGCCUUUUCAAUUAAACUUUUGUUAAAAGAAAUUCACCGACUUCUUUGAAAUUUUUACCAUGAACUACGAGGUUUUGAUCCCUCAUUUUUAUGUUAGUACGUAGGCACAAGUACGAAGGUCUUGUCAAACACAAAAAUAUAAUCAAUGAAUUCUUUUCUCAUCCCCACACUCUAUUUUUCUCAAACAUCUUUUAUACCAAACACAUAUACACACAUAAAAAAGGGCUCCAUAGGAGUACCUAGGACACUUUGGGUGCUAACACCUUCCCUCUGUGUAACCAACCCCCUUUCCUGUAACCUUUUGCACUUUAUUAGUUUUGAUUUGAAAACUUCUUAUCUUUCGGUUUUGUUCGUACUUUUCCCUUUUCCUUUGGAAACAAUAAAAGCGCGGUGGCGACUCUGGUUUUAUUGACGUCAAGCUUAUCCAUGGCUUGAUGGUCAUGAAUUUACCGCUACAAUACUAAUGCUGGAAAAUACUCAUUUAAGAAAGCCUUUUCCAUCUCUUCCUAUGAUGCAAUACUGCCAACUAAGAGAGAACGGAACCAUUCCUCCGCCUCUUCAGCUAAAGUGAAUGGGAACAUUCUUAACUUCUUUACUUCAUCAGUAUGACCACCAAUUUUCAAAGUAGUACUCAUGGUCAGAAAUCUCUGCAAGUGCUUGUUUGCAUAUUCAUUCACCUUUUCGAUGAAAGGUUUUCUUUCAAGUUGAUUGAUUGUGCUUGGAUGCAGUUGAAAAUUAGGCACACUCACUGGUUGGUUCACAAUUGUUAAUCUACCACCCGAUGCAUUUGCACCUCCAUAGUCACCAAAGAGCCUUUCUAGAGGUGGAGGGUCAUCAACCAUUGUUUCUGUUUCUGAGUCUGAAUCUGAGUGCACUGAGGGAACUUCCUCUUCGGCCUCUUAUUCUGGCUCUUUUUCCGACUCUGAAUCUGGAUCUGAAUGAGCAAUUUGUUGUUCUUUGUCUGAAUCCAGCUUUGCUAAUCUAUCUUGUAUGAGUCGUGCACGCAAAGUUCUUUCGAUUUAUGCAUUAAAAGGAAAUUCAACUGAGGUCUUACCUCGCAUAAAAUAUUAGAGGAAGAUUAGUUGACAAAAGUCGAAAUAAAUUAAAUGACAGAAUUAAAAUUUUAUUUGCAGAGCAACAAAAUUUCAAUUGAACUAAAUUUAAACUCUAUAUUUUGGCAGUCCCCGACAACGGCGCCAAAAACUUGAUCGAAAAAAUAGAAAGUGUGCUAUUUUGCCUUUUGAAGUAAUAAAGGGAAAAUUUCCUAAACGUUGAUCUCAAGGACUGCGUGUUAAUAUCGAGUUCAAACAAUUGUUCAAUUAAACAAAAAACUAGUGUAAAAAUAAUAAUACUGUAAAAAUAAGGGGUUCAAGGAAAAUGAAACAUACCAGGGAAAGUGUAUAAUUUGUCCCUGUAAUAACUAUGAGUCAUUAUUGCAUCAACAAAUGUCAAUUAACUACAACCAGUUCUCAAGGGUAUUUUCGCCCAAGGCCUUCGUGAGAAAAUCUUUAAUCAUUCAACCCUAAUCUCUAUGUCCAUAUGAAACUACCAGUGAAAUUAAGCCUUAUUAUAUCAAGAAUCCUCUGGUUCAUACAUGAUAUCCCUAGUCCUAGGUGAUAUCUACUGCAGAGUAAUCUUAUGAAAACCUCAUCAAUGACGGUCCAGCCUAAUUGAUAAUCAUAUAACAAUCUCAAUUGUUCCGAAAGAGAAAGCAUUAAACACAUCAAAAGAUUACCGCAAUCAUGAAAAAUAAUAUUGUCAAUGCAAUCGUGAACUCAAAGUCAUUACAGAUAUAAAUUAGGGACACCCUCUAGCAUUGGGGGGUUUAGCUACUCAUAUUGUUCAAAACAGAUUCAAGAUGAAAAUUAGAUAUUACAAGUAAUUGGACGACUUGGAUCUUCAAUUGCUUCCGCUCAUGAAAAUCUUCCACUCUCCAAAUUCCUUGAUCUCUAUAAUUCUCGAUCGUCUGACAAUACUUCGUGCUCUGUUUUCUCCUCGCCAAAAAGUGUCCUUCUUUCCUCGUAGAAACUCUUCUAAAAUAGUGAAAAUCCCUUAGCAUUGGUUGGAAAUCCCCAGAACGUCUUUGUUGCUCAAGUCUGGAUAAAAGCCUAAAACUGAAAUAAUUAGCGCCUGGGCUGACACAGCCCGUGUUACACCACUGCCUUGGCCAUCAUCUUUUGUUUUAUCUCAGGUGGGCUGACACGGGUGGCCUUGCCACGCCUCUGUCUUCCUUCCCCUGCAGCCUUGUUUAGCUUUCCUCUUAACACGGCUCGUGUCAAGUGACACGGGUGGCUGUGUCAGGCUUCCUGUAACUUCAUAAUUUCUUUCCUCAAACACCAGAAUUCUCGACUUUCUUGCAUUGAGUCAGUUGGGUCUUCUACUUGGACCUAGAAAGAAUAAAAAUAGAUAACCAAAGCAUAAAUCCAGAAAACACGAAAUAAAACUAAAAAUUGAUAAAACGCUUUAUUAACUUACAAAAAUAAAAACUAACUCGAAAGGUAACAUAAUGCGAACAAAGUAUUCCAGAAUCCUUGGCUUCUUGUAGAAAAUAAGUGAUGAAAAUACAAUAAAAAUGGUGAUCGAUCAUAGAGCAUCUUAAGGUGUCCGAUCAUAUCGAACGUUGUCAUGUUCUCAUGUUGCUUUGGCAACUCCGAGUUCAUGGUAGCUAGCAUGAGGCAAGCAACUUCAUUGACAUCAUCGACAUGCUUCUUAUAAGCAUCUUUUUCUGCCUUAGGUGCAAAACUAGGAGGUUCCUCUUCAGGAACAGGUUCCUCCAAGACAUACAACUUUUUAUCAUGCUUAAGGACAAUCCUCAGAUUUCAGUGUCAAUCCAUAAAAUUUGUCUCAGACAAUUUUUCUUUAUCAAUGAUUGAUCGCAAAAUGUUGUUAGAGGUGUUUGUUGUCAAUGUAAUCUACAUGAAAAAUAUGAAAAUAUAAGUAUCAUUAAAAUAACAUAUUCAAUUAGGCCUUUAAUUAAAUAUGCUCCCACUAUUUUACUCAAAACAAAUGACCCUCACCAUUUGAUUCAGAAAAUCCCAUUGGAAGAUUUUCUAGUGGGCCGAGAUCCACAUUUCACUUUGUUUUAAGUCUGUGUAGGCAGAUUACACAAAACUAGGUUAUUUAGGUAAGAACUCCUUCCAAUUGUAUCUAAUACAACUCUCUAAUAUUUUAGUUAGGUGAAUAACUCCUUAUUCCAAUCCAUCAUAUGGAUCAUUUCCAACUCUUACUUCUAAACGUAUAUAAUCUUAUUAUAAUUUGUUUAGUUAAGUUUGACCGAUUAUUUUAGCAAUCAAAUAUUACAAUUAUCCCAUCGUACCUUACUAAUAUAGAAUAUGCACCUCGCGUAGGCAAAACCUACAUUAUUUAAAUAUUAGUCUUGAUGAGUGCUAAAACUUGGAAAGCAUAAACUUAAUAUUUAAUUUGAGGGAAUUUGAAAUCAUUUUGAUCUCACCGGCUUAUUUAUCAUAUAAAUCGUCUCUCACAUGCAUCAACAUACAUACAAAAUGAAAUAGUUAUGGCCCCUAGCGCAAUUGUUCUCCCAAGCCAAUGAGAGAACCUAAGUUAACCUAAUAACGAUCUAAGCUUCUCCAAGCAAGAUCUUCAAAGUUGUCCUCCUUUGAUAUUGUAUUCUUCUCUUUCUUCAUAACAUUACAUUACAUAAAAGAAACUCGUUUUACAUACGAGGGAGUGAGAUGAGAAAAGAAGUUACAACUUCAUAACAUUACAUUACAUAAAAGAAACUCGUUUUACAUACGAGGGAGUGAGAUGAGAAAAGAAGUUACAUUAAGAGAUUAAAAGAGAGGCACGACACGCAGGUCGUAUUUUAAAAUCCCAAAAACAAAAUAAAGGAAAACUAAGGCCAUAACUGAUCACCACAAGAAAAUAAUAAUAAACACAUUAUUAUUAUUAAUUUAAGUUUUGUUAAUUAAAUAAACUAAAUUAAAUUUUUGCGAUUGAUCACACUACGCAAAGUUAGUCGGGGGUUCCGCUGCCCGUUCAGCGGACACUUGAUACUUUAAAGCAUAACUCUUGUGCAGUCACAACCCUAAUCGCAUAACUCUUUGACAACACAACCCUUGUACCGUCAUGAACCCUAAUGCAGUAAUUUCAUACUGUCAAACACACCUCAGUUGAUAAUUCAGUAUGAUUGAUCAGCACGUCAUUGCUUCACCAUACUAAUGUCGGAUUCCGAAGCAAAUGACCAUUGAUCGCUCAAAGGAAUAACAAUCAUUAAGUGUUUGAAUGAACGAAAUAGAAACAGUAUAUCAUAUAUACCAUAUUUUGCAUCAGAAUUACUUAUAUCAUAUAUAUAAAUUGACCGAUCUCAUUUGUGUAACCUAUGGACGAUCGAUGUAUCGCUGCUUCACCAUACUAACGUCGGAUUCCGAAGCAUAAUCAACAUCAAUCAUCCAAAUCAUACACACAUGAUGCCAAAUUUAAUUACUCGUUUAUUAUUUAAUUCAUUCUAUCUUUUAAUCGUACUAAUACAGAAAAUAAACAACUAUCAGAUGCAUGGUUUCCUAAGUGGCUCUGAUACCACUGAAGGAAAAUUGUGAUCCAAAACGCAACGGAAAUUAAAAGUUUUCCUUUAAUGAUCCUUACGAAUGGGCAUGAUCAGUGAUAGAAACCGUUACCUCUUGUGGCAAUUGAAACCUUUGAUGCAGAUCUAAGGAGUGAUCAAGAACGUUGAAUGGUGACAACGCCUCUACUCAGUCCACACGAAUGGAUUCCUUCAAUCUCAGUUCUAGCUGCUAUGACUGAAGGCUUUGAGUGUGUGUGUGUGUGUGUGUGUGUGUGUGAAGAGAGAAGAGAGAGAGAGAGAGAGAGAGAGAGAAACGAAAUUUCAUCAAGUGAAAUUCUUCUGCACAAGGGUUCUAUUUAUAGAACCACUUAUGUGGGCUGCAAGCUAAAGAGCCCACUUAAGUGUAUGUGGCCCAUAUCUUACGGUAUACCGAAAAUCACUUAAGUGCGUGGUACCUUACCAUAUUUCGUAUUCUACUAAAGUGCACCAUACCUUACGAUGUUCUACAAUUUACUUAAGUGUACCAUUCCUUACGUUGUUCCUUAUUGUAACACCUCAAUGUUAGACGGUGUGGCUAGUGAUCGAGAGGGGGGGUGAAUAGAUCACCUCUUUGAAAAUAAACGGAUUUAAAAUUUUAUCAGAGUUAUUGAAACUUAGCGGAAAAAUUCAGUCCCGAAUCGACUUCCGUCUAUUCUGAACCGCUACUAGAAAACCGGACACGCGAAUUUAUUGCUGGAUUUGAAUUAGAACGACAGAGAUUAUUAACACCAGAAUCUUAUCAAAUUGAAUGCACUUAUCACUAAAUCCUAAUUCCAAUGAAUAAAACUCAGCUGACAGUUUUGUCAAACAAUUGGUGUGUAUGUGAUCAAUGAUGAACAAUGGUGGACUUUAGUUAAAGAAGUUUUCUUGCCACUAUUGUAUCACNNNNNNNNNNNNNNNNNNNNNNNNNNNNNNNNNNNNNNNNNNNNNNNNNNNNNNNNNNNNNNNNNNNNNNNNNNNNNNNNNNNNNNNNNNNNNNNNNNNNNNNNNNNNNNNNNNNNNNNNNNNNNNNNNNNNNNNNNNNNNNNNNNNNNNNNNNNNNNNNNNNNNNNNNNNNNNNNNNNNNNNNNNNNNNNNNNNNNNNNNNNNNNNNNNNNNNNNNNNNNNNNNNNNNNNNNNNNNNNNNNNNNNNNNNNNNNNNNNNNNNNNNNNNNNNNNNNNNNNNNNNNNNNNNNNNNNNNNNNNNNNNNNNNNNNNNNNNNNNNNNNNNNNNNNNNNNNNNNNNNNNCUGCUCAAAAACAAUUGCUGCUACACACUCCUUUGAUCUUGUGUUCAACUGUUUUUCUCUUCUGAAUUCGUACCUUGCACUGCUGUCACAAUACUUCUUAUAUAUGAAAGACAGAAGCUGUUAGUAGACAAAACAGACUUAUGCAUUGAUACAAAAGGUUAUGCAUCGAUGCAUACUGUAACUUUGAUUAAUUUUAGAGAAUUAAUGUAAGCAUGUAUCGAUGCAAAACUCGUAUGUAUCGAUACAUAGAGCAUUUUAACUAAGCAUGUAUCGAUACAAGACUCGUAUGGAUCGAUACAUAGAGCAUUUUAACUGACCAUGUAUCGAUACAAGACUCGUAUGGAUCGAUACAUACUGAAGCAAAAACGUUUUGUGAUUUACAACAAAUUUAUGGAUCGAUGCAUAUGAACAUGUAUUGAUACAUACUGACACAAAAUAGUUUUUAUGAGUUCUUUUAAGAGAUGUAUCAAUGUGGAUCUUUAUGUAUAGACAUGAAACAAUAGUAUAGGCUAAAAACACAAAUGAAUCAUGUAAAAUAAUGCACAACCAACAAUUGGACAAUGAUCACACAAUUUGCUAUCAUUCAAAAUUUAUUCAAAGUAAAGAAUUUGCUCACACUCAAAAUUUGCCCUCCUCUUCUUGGGACUAGUUUAGCAUUGCAUUUCAUUUUUAGGGCAUUAGGCAUUGCAUUUUUGCAAAUCAUGUGGAAAUAAUGAAGUCAUCCUCCAAAGUCUUUUCAGAGAUGAAGAAGUUACAUGGUUUAAGCCUGAGGGUUUCUAUGGAUUGAUGAUCAACCAUCUGAGGGUGUGCACUUCAGUUAGGGUUUCCUGAUCCUUCAAUGGUCUUGAGCAUUAUCUUGUUUGCAAGGAUAUAUUACCAUCAUCAUGGUUAUGUCAUCCUCAAGGGUUUCAUCAUUCAGUCUCAAGUUCCUUUGGAUUAGGGUUUUGACCUCUGGUCAACCCUAAUCAAUGACAUUCUUCCAAUCAGGGCUUUUCAAGGAGUUGAGGCAUUCUAUUGAGAUGGAUAUCACAUGGUUAUAUUAAAGAGCUUAUAUGAGCUAGGGUUUCAUUUCUGAGCAAAUUCCUCAAGUGGUAGAGGCUCAAGCUGAUCAGGGCAUUGCAAGGUCAUCUGAGGACCAAAGAAGUCAACUGUGCAAGAGCUGAGGGCUUUGAGGUGGAGAAAUGAGUUUCAACAUCUCCAUCAUGUUCAAAAGAGGUUCAUUUGUAAUUUCAAACAUCUAUCUUGAAGAUUUUGAAGUCAGGGCAAAAGUUUCCAAAAAUGGAAAGUGACCUGUAAUUGAAAGUUUCCAAAAAUGGCAAGUUUUUGGUCUACAUUCAACUUGACUUUCCAACAUCAAAGAAGCUUCAAAUGUAUUUUUGGUGAACAUGAAAGUUGAAGAUCUUUCUCUCCUCUUUUCAAAAAGUCCAAGAUCAUGUCCAUCUGAGGAAGGGUUGAGAAGUUAAGGCCAAAGGAUGACAAAGUGCACAUGGAAGUUCAACAUGGCAUAACUUUUGCUCCAAAGCUCCAAAUUGGUCCACUCUUUUUGCAUUAUGCUUAUCAUGACCAAUAUUUUCCAAAUCAAACAUUACAUUGCAUGAAAUUAACUCACAUGAUCAUUUGUCCAUGCAUGUAUAUUUUGGAGGGAAAAUGGAGAAUUCAAAUUCUAUUGAUCAUACAUGAAAAAUACCAAUGCCAUUGUGAUCUUUGGAUGAUUUUAAGUGACUUUGAACCAUGCAUGUGCACUGUUCACGUGUAAAAUCUCCAUGCACCACACACUUGCCAAAUUGGUCAUUCACCUUAUUUCUUCUUAAUCUCAAUUAACCAUUGCCUAAUGACAAUUUCAGGGUGAUUAGCACAUGGUAUAUAGGCCUAAUCAUAACAGAAUUUCAGGGGGGAACCAUUCUAGAUCUGAAAAUUUUCUUUCCCUCCAUUUUUUCUCUCACUUGGAUUUCAAAAUUUCUUCAGACAAGGCAUCAAUUUCUUUGCAUAUUCUUGUUAAUCAUGGAAUUCUGAGCAAGGAUCAUCAAUUGGUUUGAAGAAUUGAGCAAAAAUUCGUGCACAUCCAAAGCUUGAACAUGAAGAUGGAACUUGAAGUUUGAGCUAGAUCUAAGAGGUUUCCACUGCCAAUUCGUGCACGAAGCUUCAUAACAAGGUUGGAGGAGAAGAUCUGGACCUUUUUGGAGCUUGAAUCCACGAUUUCAACUCACUGCUCUUCAAAGAGGUUGGAAUUCGAAUCUCUUGUUUCUUCAUUUUCUUGCCAGUAUCUUGUAGAGUUUUUAAUGCUGAUGAUUUUGAUAUCAAUAGAUUUUAAAAUGGAUGAGAAUUGAGUGAGAUAUGAUGAGUUGAAGUUUUGGUUACAAUUAUGUUUUCAUUCGAUCCAUGCGUUUCAGUGAGAAUUAGGCUUAAUGAUUGUUAGAUUCGAGCUUCUGGUAACGAGACCUUUCGAUCCAUGUAUAGCAUGCUUAAUUCUGGGAAAAAUGUUCAUCAUCUCCGCCGUGAGUUGGCCGGAGAAGACGACCGGAAUUACUAUUCCGGCCGUCUGGUUCAGCGCUAGGGUUCCACUGUUAGCGCGCUUGCAACAUUCCAAUCCUCUGUUCGAUUCCUCGCCUUGACAUUUUGGAAUUUCGCUUUUGAUUUUCCCUUGCCAUGAAACGCUGCGUUUCAAUGUUGGAUACGCUUGCAACCUUGCGUUCCUCUGUUCGAUCCUGGCAUGCUUACAUUUGUUUAAUUGAUUUUCACUAUGCGCCUUGUGACCUCGCUUGCUUCAGUUCGAUUCCCAUGCACGUUCCUCUGUUCGAUCCUGGCAUGCUUACAUUUGUUUAAUUGAUUUUCACUAUGCGCCUUGUGACCUCGCUUGCUUCAGUUCGAUUCCCAUGCUAGCAUAUUUUCCAUUUUAUUUCCCAGCGCCUUUUUGACUCACAAGUCCUGUGUUCAAUCCUCACCUGUUGCACUUUCUAUUUCAUUCAUUUCAUUUUUCACAUUUAUUUUCAUAUUAACUCAUUUUUUAUUUCAUCAAUUUGCAAAAAUCAUAAAAAAUAGCAUGCUAAUCCAAAUUAAUUCAAACUUUUUUUUUUCACAUGUUUGUUUGAAUGUCUAAUAUUUGUUGAUGUUAAUUUCUUGAUUUUUACAUUGCUGGAAUUUUAAAUGUGCUUGGUUGUUUGAACAUGAUGCAAAAAUGACAUGUUGUGCUAAUUGAUUUGUGAAAUGCUCAUAGUUUGUCCAAUUGCCUUGAAAUUUGACAUGCUCAUUCAUAACAUGUAACAUGAUCUUUUGGAUUUUGUUUGGCAUUUUUACCAUUUAAUCUCACUGUUUUAGACACAUGGACAUAUGUUGUAACAUUUGGUGUCACAUUCUUGACCUUAUUCUUGUGCAUUUUCAUUCAUAUGCCAUUUGUUUGCUUCUGGACUUAAUUUUUGGUAUGAUGCUUGUUCAUAACAUGUUAAGUGCACAUAAAAUUUUUCAUGAUCAUUGGAUUCAUUUCUAUUUUAAUGUGGUUUUUCUAUGUUUGAUAUCCAAAUAUGAUCACAUUGUUUGCCUUUGCCUUAUCUUGAUUAUGUGAUGGCUUUGCUUAAUGAUUUGGCUUUGGUCCUUUUGAGGCCUUCUUCUUGUUUGAUUGAUUGUGCUUCAUGUUAAGUAUGGACUUCUGUUUUGGUUGUUUGCCUUGCCUUUGACCCUAGUCUUUGCACUAGUGGUUUGUACUCACCAAUUGUGUUUGUGUUUCAGGUAUCUAGCACUAAUGAUUGGUGUAGCCUCAUCAUUUGAGAUGUCAUUUGCUUUGUUCACUAAUUCUUGUUGUGUUGUAGGUCCCUUAGUGUGAUGGACUCACUUGAGUGAUUGCAUUUAUGACUUGCAUUGUGUACAUAUUGGAAAGUCCUAUUGUUGUCUGUUUGUUUCUCCGAAUACAAUAUUGAUUGUUUGGCUUUUGUACAGGUACAUUAGUCGCUAUUAGCUUGCUUUGCUUUGCUUUGGAGUGUGAUUGGUACACCACUGAGGUAGUUUAGCCUUCUAACUCCAUAUAGUCUAGAAGCCCUGUCGCUUUUUUGGCAGGCGUUUGGCUGAAGUCCUCCUUAAGAGGCAAUGACUGUGUUUGUUUAUAUUUGUGCUAAAGACCUCCUUGUCGAGGCAUGUUACUUGUUAAGUCCUCCUAAGUGAAGAGGCAAUUGACAGAUAGAAGGGACUAGCAAUCAGUCCCUGUUAGUCGUUGAGUCGUUCAUUAUGUCGCACUACGUGCUGAUACUCUUGAACCUACCCAAGAUCCUUGUACAGUGUCAGUCAAGUGGAGUAGGGUCCUCAUUCUGGAUCCCCACGUAUUCUUUGAUUUGAGCUCACCCUGCCAGGGUUAAGAGCUAUGAGGUCUAACCCUCAUUACACCUUUCACUGCUCACCCUGACGGUCGAUGUCAGUGGUUAAGAGUUUCAGAACCCCUACAGUUUGGCUGUUGUCGACGGUUGAUAUGACCCCUUGACUAAAGCCCAACCGUGUCUGAGCCUCUUGUUUGCAUAUAGAGCGUGGAUUGCUUGUGUGUUUGCUUUUGGCAUGUUUAUUUGCUGUUUGAUUGACUUGCUGCCUGUGCGAGUUAGGUUCUGUUAGAUACCUCAACCUAGGGCUAUUGUGGAUUGCAUGACAACUAUUAGGCUCGAGUCAGUCUCCCUUUUAGUUUGUUAUUCCCCGGUCUCUGGUUAGGAGAAAGUUUCUCCCCUGUUAAGGGGAACUACGUCGCCCUGAUUCUCAUACCAGAUGAGAUACGUAGGCAGGAGAUCGUGCGAGAUCUCUUCGGGCACCCUUUUGUUUUUUGUGUGUGUUCAACCUGUUUGUUUCUUUUGACGUCUCAGCGUCUCUUUUAUGCGUGUGACAACUAUUAGACCGAGUUCCCGACUCCCUUUUAGUCUGUGUGUUCAACCUCUUUGUUUCUUUUGACGUCUCAGCGUCUUCUUGGUGUUUGCUUGACAACUAUUAGGCUCGAGUUCCAGACUCCCUUUUAGUUUGUCAGUUGGAGAACCUUUGGUGUUCGCUGGUUAGCGAUUGUUGUUUGUUUGGAGUUGGAUGUAAGCCCAUCGAUUGGCAUUCCGUUUCCUUGUUUGCCUUUGUUUGGAGUCGGAUAUAAGUCCAGCUAUUGGCAUUCCGUUUCCUUGUUGAGUUUCUUUUGACGUCUCAGCGUCUCUGUGUUGUGUUUUGUUUCGGCGUGCGUUAGCCGAGCUACGAGUGCUCUGAUUCUUUCUCUGGAUAGAGAAGAUACGUAGGCAUAGGAUGCGAUGUCCUAGCGAGCAUGUUUCCCAUUUCCUCGAACUACGUUGACUCUGAUGUUUGUUUCUGACAAACUACGUAGGCCCAGGAUGCGACAUCCUGCCGAGUCCCCUUCCUCCGUUUUCUUCCACCUGUUAUUUCAUUCCAGUUUGUGCAGAUUCUUUGAGCAGUUCAUUAGCAACCUUAUUCUAUUCUUUUGAGUGUGGAUCCCGUCGAGUACGGCGGACGUGAGGGGUGCUAAUACCUUCCCCUUGCGUAACCGACUCCCGUACCUUGCAAUCUCUGGUCGUAAGACCAUUCCUUUCCUUUCCAGGUUUACUUCGAGCGUUACCCCUUGCGUAACCGACUCCCGUACCUUGCAAUCUCUGGUCGUAAGACCAUUCCUUUCCUUUCCAGGUUUACUUCGAGCGUUUCCUUUCCCUCCUUUGGGAUAAAUAACGCACGGUGGCGGCUCUGUUGUUUUUUUCCGCCGGUUGUUUUUUCGCGUUGCGACACUUAUUUACUCUAUCUCUCAUCAAUCCAUCCUUUUAUGUGUGAACCUGUAGGUUUUCGUGAUAUUGGCAAUUAUAUUAAAUCACGUAUUUAACAUAAUAAACAGUGAGCAGUAUCUAGCAACACAUUACUGCUACCCAAGACACGAAAAUGUCAUGUGAUCUUACAUAUCCUUUUUGUGAUAAUACUUGCGUGUACAAUUACCCUUUUUUGCCCUUAUGUCUAUAUUGAACACAAGGCAUAGACCGUGUCAUCCUUGUCCAGUUCAAUAUUGGGUCCUUAGACAUUUAUCAUAUUACACAGGAUGGGAAAAUUCCAUCUAGGUCACUCAUGUCCCUCAACAUGCUUCGUGGAGUACCCAUCAACUGUCUUAAUGGUCAUCUAGUUACGGACAAUGUUUGAUCAGUAAUAAAGCAUUGGACUCUACAUCUAAGGUUCAUAGUGGUUUCAGGUCGAAGGAUGGUAUACACCACUAUCACCAUGAGAAUAACUUAUGACACUUUGUAUAACAUUCAAUGUAGUAUUCUUAUAGCGGGUCAAUCCAGUAUAAAUAUUACUCCUAAUAUUCAUACCUAUGUUUAAGACUUGACAACUCUUUAUCCAUGAUCCAUGAGAUGUGAUCAUCAAUCUAUAUACAUAAUAGUCUUAAAGCUUUAAUGUUAUCCCACUUCACAAAAAAGCUCGAUUACGAAUACUUUAAGAAUAGUGUCCUUAUGUUUAAUGGGAUCUCAUGAUUAAGUCACACGAUACAUUAAACGAACUAGCUACUUUAGGGACUUUAUUAAACAAACAUAAUAAAGAAAAAUCCUUUUAUUAUUAAUAAAUAAUUCGAUACAAGUACCAAAAGUAUUGGCCUCUAGGGCUUACACCAACAUGCCAUGAGUAACACAUCAUCAGAAUCAUUAUCUUUAGCAUAUGCAUACUGCACUUCAUUGUUAUCUUCGUGUGUGCUUCCUUUUUUCUUCGACCGUCUCGAGCAUAAUGACCAAAUCCUUGAUAAUUGUAACACUGCACCUCAUUCAUGUCAACUUUCUUCCCAUAAUAAUUGUUUCCCAUGCCUUUAUUGAUCGAAUCAGAGUGACUCUUUGAGUUAUUGUUUGGCUUCUCAUCAUUAUCAAGGUUUUUUUCCCUACUUCGCCUUCUCUUUCCCUGAUUUCUUGAUGACUCUUGCUUGUAGUGCAUGUUUAACCACCUUCUCCCUUUAUGUGUUCCUCUACUUCAGCCUCAUCUCAUGAGCCUCUAAUAAAACUUGAAUUUAUUCUAACUUCAUCUAAUCUAUAUUCUUGAACUCUUCAAUUGACACUAGGAUGUAACCAAAAUUUGCAUUCAGAAAUCUCAACACUUUCGCAAUCUUCUGCAAAUCAUUGAUUGACUCACCACGCGUCUUCAUCCGGUUUAUUAACACUACCACACGUGAAAGGUAUUCCGAGUCUGAUUCAUCUUCCUUCAUCUGAGUCAUCUCAAAUUUCUUUCUCAAAAUUUGUAACUCCACUCUUUUCAGUUUUCCAUCUCCCCCGUAGAAGUUCUUCAACUUGUCCCACGCUACUUUGGCAGUUUCUUCUUCAAACUUAAAUAACAAAUUCAACAAAAUAAAAGAAAUUAGAGCAAAUGUUCGUAACCCGAUGUUACAUUGAUCAGAGAAAGACCCUACUAAAAGAAAUGAAAAUAUAUAGGAAGUCACUCCAAAAGCUACCUUCCACUUACUGCAGCAAAACUACUCCUGAGUAUCUGCACGAUGCCUAUGUAAAGGCAACAUUCAAACAGAAGGGGUGAGAAACAAUAAACCAAUAUAAACAGUAUAAUCAUGCUAAGGUAGAGAAGACAUGUCAUAUACACAGGUAUCAAUGAUAUUAUCUCACACCCAAUUGAUAACAACAAUCACAUAAUCCCAUAUCAUCAUAACAUCAUGAAAAAUCAACCACAUGUGCAAUCAUAUAUGCAAAUGUACUCUAUAACUAAAUCAUUAUGCAUGUGGUACCAUUCAUGAACACUCAGGUUCAUCUCACUCCAUAUCCCCACCAUAGGACCAAUGAAGACCAAAUUGUUACCAUCACCAUAGGUAACGUUUCACCAAUUCUCACCUGGAACUGGCCACUCGCUCCCGAUCCCCACCAUAGGACCAAAGCACACUAAAACUGGACCGAAGCCCAUACAACAUGAUGCAUGACCCUCAAAUAACAUGUAUUAUCACAACAAGGUUCACCAAAAGGAUCCUCAUACACAUCUCACCAUUUAUGCAUCACAACAUUCAUCAUGCAACCAUCAAUUCAUGUUACAAUGUCAAUAACAUCAAUAAACUACAACAACUCAGCAUGCAUGGUUCCACGACAUUCAUUCAUAUCACUUCACCCAAAAACAACAAUACAUCAUCGUAUUCAAUAUAAUGAUUCAUCUAUUAAUAAAACAAGUCCUCACAAACAUCUUUACAGUAGACAAUUGACUACUAUGAGUGCAACUUAACAUUAUGAAGCAUAUAAGCAUUUUAAAAUAAGUUUGAAAAGGUUUCAUGCUUGAAAAAUAAGUUAAGUCAAAAAGAAGUCUAUGUGCCGACACAUACGAUCCGUAGGUCGACAAAUAGAAGAAACUUUUGCCUAUGAGUCGACACAUAGACUUCUUUUUCACUUAACUUAUUUUUCACUCGACACAUACGAGUUAUAGGUCAGCUCAUGUACUUCAUUUUUAAAGCCUGUAACGUUCGGUUAGAUGUGCCGACUGCAUGUGUCUACAUGUGACCUUCAUAGGUCGAUACUUGACCUUCAUAGGUCGACUCAUACUGCGAAAUUUUCCCCAAAGUUAGUUUUUAAAACGUCCAAAAACUACCUCGUGUUUCAAAAACUUAUGCUACAAAAAUUCAUCAAAUAAAUCCAAUUUCUCAUGGUUAUAGCUUCCUAAUUCAUUAUUUACUCCAUAGUUUUCAUGAAUCAACAUCAUAUUACAACACAUCAUCAUACUCAUCAUCUCUAAAUCACCAAUAACACAAUCAAGGUCAAAACCUUCAAACAUCAAUCAAUAGCAUAACAUCAUCAGCAACAUCAAAACAAAACAUAUGCAUACAUAGGGUACACUAAUUUUACACUAAUUUCAUCAUACAAUCAACAAUUAUAACACAAAAAUCAGAGUUGAGAUUUAGAACACUCAUUCCUAAGGAGGUUAAGAAUUCCUCCAUCUAUCCCACAUGCUUUAUGUAACGCCCCAGACAGCUUUUAGGAUUAUCGACUGACCCCACAAACCAACACAGGUCUUUUCAGCAUGUUUUAUCCUCACUCACACGCUUCCCGGGAAACUUCCUAGAAGGUCACCCAUCCAAAUACUACUCCAAGUCAAGCAUGCUUAACUAUGGAGUUCUUAUCUAUUGGGCUACCAAAAAGGAGAUGCAUCUUGUUUUCGAUAGCCUAACCAAUAAGAACUCUAUAGUUAAGCGUGUUUGACUUGGAGUAGUAUUGGGAUGGGUGACCUUCUGGGAAGUUUCUCGGAAAGUGUGUGAGUGAGGUCAAAACAUGCUGAAAAGACCCAAGUUGGUUUGUGGAGUCACUCGAUAAUCCUGAAAGCAGUCUGAGGUGUUACAAAUGGUAUCAGAGAAGGCCUCUCCUAGUACGAUGUGGUUCGAGGACGAACCAAGGGGAAGCUGGUGGGCAUGUAACACCCGAGUCCGGAGAGGACAAAGAGCGGUUACAUGUGACACCCGAGGGUGAGGGAGUGAUUGUCGGUGCAUGAGGCAUGACAAUGAGACACUCCUAGCAGCUUCUAGGGAUAAACCGAAUUCACAUCAGAAUAAGAGGGAUCCUGAGGCUGUGCAGGUAUGAGAUUGCGUGGUUGAAGGAAGGCUUAUAAGGAUUAAUUGGUACUACCUAUACCAAUAAUAUGCAUCUUUUUUUCGGUAGCCUAACCAAUAAGAACUCCAUAGUCAAGCGUGCUUGACUUGGAGUAGUAUUGGGAUGGGUGACCUUCUGGGAAGUUUCUCGGAAAUUGUGUGAGUGAGGUCAAAACAUGCUGAAAAGACCCGUGUUGGUUUGUGGGGUCAGUCAAUAAUCCUUCAAGCAGUUUGGGGCGUUAUACUUUACACCUAAUUGGUAUCCUUUUCCCCCUUACCUGAUUUACAGCAAAAGCCAUUUGUCCUUAAAGUUAUUUUUCAACCUUAAGCCCUUGCUCUCCGAUUUUGCCUAUUUUUCUCCAACUCUCCAAAAUAUGUACCGACUCUCUCAGGUUCUCAAAUUCCCUAUUUUAUUCUAAGACCUUUUCCUUCCAAAUAGAUUCUUCCCCUUUUACCCUCCAACUUAUCCUUGCAUGCUUUUCCUAUCCUCCAUAUUUUCCUUAAUUCCAACAUUGCCCUCAAUUUCUAUACACAUCUUAUUUUUCCAUUAUUUAAUUAAUUAGUUAAAAUAAAAAUAUUAAUCUAUAAUAUUAUUUAUUCUAGUAAUCAAUUAAAAUUCUAAAUAAUUUCUAAACAAAUAUGCUAAGCUCGCACUCUCUCCAUACUCAUAUUUCAAGGACACUUACCGCCACAAUCACUCUUUAACAAUUUAAAAUCUCAAUCAAUUAAAAUAAAAUUUCAAAUAAUUCAAUUAAAAUUAAUUAAUUAAAUUCGAUGUGUUACAACUCUCCCCCACUUAGAAUAAUUUUUUCCCUCAAAAUUACCUGAAGGAAACAAAGUCGGAUACGACCCUCUCAUCUGAUCUCCAACUCCUAAGUUAUGCUCCCAUCAACUGGUCCUCUCCACACUACCUUCACAAAUGCAAUAUGCUUACCAUACAACUAUUUCACUUCUCGAUCCUCUAUCCGCACGGGCGAUGCCUCCAUAUUCAGGUUCUCUCUCAUCUGUAUAUCGUCCACUUGAAUCACAUGAGACGGAUCUGGAAUUUAUCUCCUCAACUGAGACACAUGAAACACAUCAUGAAGAUUAGCAAGCGGCGGUGGCAAGGAAAUCCGAUAGGCAAUCUCUCUUAUCUUCUGAAAGAUAUGGUAUGGACCAACAAAACAUGGCGUAAGCUUUCGAGACUUCAAGGCUCGACCAACACCGGUUAUCGGGGUAACCCUAAAAAACACAUGGUCCCCCUCAUGGAACUCAAGUGCCUUUCUCCUCUUAACAUGGCAACUCUUCUGACGACUCUGCGAAGCUCUCAUAUUCCCUUGAAUCAUCUUAAUCUUAUCAGAAGUCUAUUGCACAAUCUCAGGUCCAGUUACUGCACUUUCGCCAUAUUCAUACCAACACAGAGGUGUCCUACACCUUCUACCAUACAACGCCUCAAACGGGGCCAUCCUAAUACUCGAAUGGAAACUGUUAUUAUAAGUGAACUUAAUCAGCGACAAGUAGCUAUACCAAGCAUUUUCUUGUCCUAGCACACAAGCCCUCAACAUAUCCUCCAAGGAUUGGAUAACCCUCUCCGUUUUCCUAUCAGUCUGCGGGUGAUAAGCAAAACUCAACUUCAGCUUAGUACCCAAUGCUUCUUGCAAACUCUGCCAAAACCUUGACGUGAACCUCAUAUCUCUAUCAUACAUAAUGCUUGACAGAAUACCAUGUAGACAUAUAAUCUUUACAAUAUACUACUCCGGUCUGAUUUAUAAGCAAAAAAGACAAAUUUCACGCUUAUUACGAAAUAUAGUUAAGUGCAUUUAAUUUUCUUGAUUUCAUGUGAGAGGGAAAACACAAUUACUAGUAUACCCUCAAUUAAAUUAUCGUAGACUAAUAAUAUUAAGUAAUUAAUGCAUGGAUACUUUUGGAAUAAAGGCAUUAAAUGCACAUAAGUUUGUUGACAUUUGCUUAUAUUUAAGGCCAAAAAAUUAGAAUACAAAUAAGGUCGGAUGGAGUACAGCUCAACUAACUUCUACAAGUUAUAGUUGAUCCUAAUCGGUAUGAAAUGAGCUGAUUUAGUCAACCUAUCAACAACCACCCAAAUAUAAUGACAUCCCUUCAUCGUCUUUGGUAAAUUGGUUUCAAAAUCCAUGGAAAUUCUAUCCUACUUCCACUCUGGAAUACUAAAAGUUUGCAUCAGACCUGAUGGUCUUUGAUGUUCAAUUUUCGACUUUUGACAAGUCAAACAAGCAUAGACAAAUCUAGCUACUUCCUUUUUCAUUCUUGGCCACCAAAAUAAUUUAUUUAAGUCCCUAUACAUCUUAGUGGCACUAGGAUGAAUACUCAAUCCACUUCUGUGACCCUCCUCAAGAAUACUCUUCUUAAGCUCGGGUACAUCUGGUACACAAACCCUGUCUAUGAACCUCAUCACGCCAUUCUCAUCAGUUCUGAAGUCAUCACCCCUAUUCUGAUAGAUUAACAGAAUUUGGUCAACCAAUCCCACGCCAGUCUUCUGACCCUCUCUGAUCUCUUCAAGAAUGCCACUCGUCAGCUCCAACAUACCCAGCUUUACAGUAUCAUAGGUUUCUUCACAAACUAGACUCAUGUCUCUGAAUUUCUCGAUCAACUCUAGCUCUCAAACCAUCAACAUGACAUAUGCAAAGAUUUCCUUCUAAAAGCGUCAACUACAACGUUAGCCUUACCCAGAUGGUAACUCAAGUCAAAAUCAUAAUCUUUCAGAAACUUGAGCCACCUCCUCUGCCACAUAUUCAAUUCCUUAUGAUCAAAUAAAUAUUUCAAACUCUUGUGAUCACUGAACACUUCAAAUCUAGAGCCAAACAGUUAGUGCCUCCAAAUCUUCACCAUGAAAACCAUUGCUUCUAACUCAAGAUCAUGUAUAGGAUAAUUCAUUUCAUGAACUCUUAACUUCCUAGAAGCAUAAUCCACAACUUGUCCAUUAUGCAUCAACACACCUCCCUGACCCAUCUUUGAAGCAUCAUGAUGUAUAACAAAUGACUCACAUGGAUUCGGAAAAAUCAAAACUGGAGAAGACGUCAACUUCUUCUUGAGUUCUUGAAAACUCCCUUCACAAUGCAUAUCCCAAACAUAGGUUUUUCCCUUUCAAGUUAACUGAGUUAACAACAAUGCUAACUUCGAAAAACCUUCAAUGAACUUCCUGUAGUAACCAACCAAUCCAAGAAAACUUCUAAUCUCAAUGAUAGACUUCGGAGUCUCUCAUUGUAACACAUCAUCUAUCUUCGAAGGAUCCAUAACUCUACCACCCCUAGAAAUCACAUGACCAAGGAAACUCACUUCUCUUACCCAGAACUCACACUUGGAAAACUUUGCGUACAACUAGUUCUCUUUCAAUGUCUGCAAUAAAAUUCUCAGAUGUUUCACAUGCUCUUCAUCAGACUUUGAGUAUAUCAGGAUGUCAUCUAUAAACAUAACCAUAAACUGAUCUAAAUACAGAUGAAAUAUUCUAUUCAUGUAUUCCAUGAACACUCCAACACAUUAGACACACCAAACGACAUUACUGAAUACUCGUAAUGACCAUACCUCAUUCUGAAAGAAGUCUUUGGAAUAUCUUCAGGCUUCACAUGAAUCUGAUGAUAACCCGAACGCAAAUCUCUCUUGCUAAACACACAAGCACCUACCAAGUGAUUCAUCAGAUCAUCAAUCCUCGAAAGUGUAUACUUGUUCUUGAUAGUUACCUUAUUCAGCUGCCAGUAGUCCAUACAUAGCCUCAUACUACCGUCUUUCUUCUUCACUAACAACACUGGUACACCCCACGGAGAAACACUCGGACGAACAAACUUCUUCUCAAGCAGAUCUUCUAGUUGCUUCUUCAAUUCACCCAACUCUAAAACAAAUAUCUAUAAGGAGCCAUCGACACCGGACUAGUACCAGGCAGUAGGUCUAUAGAAAAUCCCACCUCACGUCCCGACAACAAAUCACUAAUAUCAUCUAGAAACACUUUUGGAAAAUCACUCACCAUAGGUAGCUCGUCCAACACGGCUUUAGGCUCCGCCUUCAUAGAAGCUAAUAUCAUAAACACUAAAACAUCAUCCUUCAUGAACCCAUUCACUUUCUUAGCUGAUACAAACAACUCAUCACUAGUAUCAAACUCUGGAAAUGACACCGUUUUGGCAAAGCAGUUGAUAUGAACACGAUUGAACUCUAACCAGUUCAUUUUAAAGAUAACAUCGAGAUUCCUCAAAGGUAGACACACUAAAUCCAUACUAAAACUCUUAUCACAGAUAGUAAGCGGACAAUUCAAACAAACUCACGAAGUGAGUACCAUACCUAGAGUCGAGGUAUCAACAAUCAUAUUCCCAUUCAUAGAAGACAAUUUCAAACCCAACUUCUCAACACAAUCAAGCGAAACAAAUGAAUGUCUCGCACCUAUGUCAAUAAUAGCAAUCAAAGGAAUACCAUUUAUAAAACACGUACCUCAAAUCAAAUGGUCAGCACUAGUAGUCUUUGUCCCAGACAAGGAAAAGACUUUCUCUCUUUAAACUGUUCUUUCUUCGGCUUAUGACAAUCGGUACUAAUAUGACCCAUUUCGCUGCAAUUAUAACAAAUCAGCCCAUCACUUCUAUAAUCCAUAACACAGUGACAUGCCUUACCAUACUUAAAGCAUCUCAUAAUAUUAUUCUUACACUCAUUAGCACGGUGGCCCGACUCGCUACACUUGAAACACUUGACAGAAGCGGGAGGCACUCCCCACUUGGCUUUUUCUCAUAUGUAGUCCUCUGCUUCCCUUUGUCAGGUGGAGCACUGUAUGGUUUUCUCCUAAACUGAUUUUUCCCUUCCUCUCACUAACACUCUUGUGAGUGGAACGAGCCAUGCAGUCCUCAUCAUAAAUCCUACACUUGUUCACUAGAGCAGGAAACCUGAGAAUCUCCUGAUAGCCAAUACCCUGCUUAAUCUCAGAUCGCAGUCCAUUCUCAAACUUAAUUAAUUUGGAUCCCUCCACAGAUGCACUAUUUUAAUGAGGACAUAACUUCACUAGCUCCUCAAACUUGGUGGCAUACUCAACAAUCGUAAUGUUUCCUUGCUUAAGCUCAAGAAACUAAAUCUCCUUCUUGCAACACACAUCUUCAGGAAAAUAUUUCUCAAGGAAUUGAACCCUGAACACAUCCCAUGUGAUCUAAGCACCAACAACUUCUAGCCUCUAGUGAGUGUUAUCCCACCAGUCUUUAGCUUCCUCAGACAACAUGUGAGUACCAAACAAUACCUUACGUUCCCCAGACAACAUGUGAGUACCACCCUUCGGAUCAUACAUGCCUUUAAAUGUCGACGGAUUAUUCCUCUGAAAUUUUCCCAACCCGCGGAACUUAUCACCUACCAGAUUUUGUUGUCUGUGUAGUGCUUGAGCCACUGACUGCAAAGCAUCAACAAUAUCGCAGUCAUCUCUUCCAACCAAUCUACACAUCAUCAAAUAAGCAUUAGAAGAAAUUAUGCAUCGACAAUGUACACACACAUGUCACAUACUAGGGACUCGACUAUGUCACAAAACCUGGCCUGAUGGACCAACCUGCUCUGAUACCACUAUGUAACAUCCUAAACCCCGCAUACAAUUUUUUCGCAUAAUUAUAAUUAAACUACAAUCACAUAGGGUGUUGCGCACAUCAAAAACACAUCCUGAUCCGUAACACGGGUUACAAAAUAUCACAUAACACUUGUCAUCGCAUGCUCACCUUCACUUAGGGUAUCAUCGCAACAUAAUCAUUAUCAAAUCAAUUAAAUAAAUAAUAAUUUCAACUCAGGAUGUUAAAUCUCAUAACUUCAAACUUCAUAAUGCAAUAACAAGAGUCGUAAUAUUCAACUUAUCACCAUGUUGAAACCUCAUCAAACUUAAAUAACAAUUUCAACAAAACAAAAAAAAUUAGAGCAAACAUUCCCAACUCGAUGUUACAUUGACCAGAGCAAAACCCUACUAAAAGAAACGACAAACUAUAGGAUGCCACUCCAAGAGCUAUAUUCCAUUUAAUGCAGCAAAGUUACUCCUGAGUAUUUGCACGAUGCCCAUGUAAAGGCAACAUUCAAACAGAAGGGGUGAGAAACAACAAAGCAAUAUAAACAGUGUAAGGAAUGCUAAGGUAGAUAACACACAUCGUGUACACAUUCAUUACAUAGGUAUCGACGACAUAAUCUCACACCCAACUUAUAACAACAAUCACAUAAUCACAUCUCAUCAUAACAUCAUGAAAAAUCAACCGCAUGUGCAAUCAUAUAUGUAAAUGUACUCCAUAACUGACUCAUUAUAUAUGCGGUACCAUUCAUGAACACUCAGGUUCAUCUCGCUCCCGAUCCUCACCAUAGAAUAGAGCACACCAAAUUGUUACCAUCACCAUAGGUAACGCUUCACCAAUUCUCACCUAGAACUGGCUACUCGCUCCCAAUCACCACCAUAGGACCAAAGCACACCAAAACUGGACCGAAGCCCAUACAACAUGAUGCAUGACUCUAAAAUAACAUGCAUUUUCACAACAAGGUUCACCAAAAGGAUCCAUAUACACAUCUCACCAUUUAUGCAUCACACCAUUCAUCAUGCAACCAUCAAUUCAUGUUACAAUAUCAAUAACAUCAACAAACAACAACAACUCAUCAUACAUGGUUCCAUAUCAUUCUUUCAUAUCACUUCACUCAAAAAUAACAAAACAUCAUCAUAUUCAAUAUAACGAUUCACUAAUUAAUCAAAUAAGUCAUAACAAACAUCUUUGCAGUAGACAAUUGACUACUAUGAGUGCAACUUAUCAUCAGGAAACCUAUAAGCAUUUUAAAAUAAGUUAGAAAAGUUUCAUGCUUGAAAAUAAAUUUUUAAGUGAAAAAGCAGUAUGUGUGCUGACACAUACGAUCCAUAGGUCGACACAUAGAAGAAAAUUUUGCCUAUGUGUCAACACAUACGAGUUACAGGUCAGCGCAUGUACUUCAUUUUUAAAGCAUGUAACGUUCUGUUAGAUGUGCCGACUGCAUGUGUUGACACGUGACCUUCAUAGUUCGACACAUGACCUUCAUAGGUCGACUCAUAUUGCGAAAGUUUUCCAAAAAUCUAUUUUUAAAACAUCCAAACACUACUUCAUGUGCCAAAAACUUAUGCUACGAAAAUCCAUCAAAUGAAUCCAAUUUCUCAUGGUUAUAGUUUCAUAAUUAAUCAUUUACUCCAUAGUUUUCAUGAAUCAACAUCAUAUUACAACACAACAUCAUACUCAUCAUCUCUAAAUCACCAAUAACACAAUCAAGGUCAAAACCAUCAAACAACAAUCAAUAGCAUAACAUCAUCAACAACACUAAAACAAAACAUAUGCAUUCAUAGGAUACACAAAUUUCACAUCAAUUUCGUCAUACAAUCAACAAUUAUAACAUAAAAUCAGAAUUGAGAUUUAGAACAUUCAAUCCUAAGGAGGUUAAGGGUUCCUCCAUCUACCCCAUAUUUUUUACAUCUAAUUGGUAGCAUUUUCUCCUCCCUUACCUGAUAUCCAGCAAAAACCCUUUGAUCCUUAGAGUUCUUCUUUAACCUUAGGCCUCUGCUAACCCUUUUUGCCUCUUUUGCUCAAAAUCUUCAAAAUACGUACUUACUCUCUCAGGUUCUCAAAUUCCCUAUUUUAUUCCAAAACCUAUUUUCUUCCAAAUAGACUUUUUCCCCUUUACCCUCCAACUUAUCCUUGCAUCCCUUUCCCAUCCUCCAUAUUUUCCUUAAUUCCAACCUUGCCCUCAAUUUCUCUACACAUCUUAUUUUCUAAUUAAUUAAUUAAUUCAAAUAAAAAUAUUACUCUAUAAUAUUAUUUAUUCUAUUAAUCAAUUAAAAUUCUAAAUAAUUUCUAAACAAAUAUGCUAAGCUCUUACUCUCUCCAUACUCAUAUUUCAAGGACACUUACCCCCACAAUCACACCAUAACAAUUUAAAAUGCCAAUCAAUUCAAAUAAAAUUUUAAAUAAUUUAAUUUAAUUUAAUUAAUUAAAUUCGGGGUGUUACAAGAUGUCCAUCACACUAGAUGACGUGUCAUCCUUGUCACAUCUUUCAAUCAUGGAAAGAUUAUUAGACCACUCAAGAAUGACCAGACCUGAUGCACUGGAGAUGAUGGUGACCUAUUUGAGAGCUGAUCGAGAGGAUGCCCUAAAGAAGAUGGAAGGCACCAGAGGAUGUCAUGUUCCAUUUGUUUUUCUGGAAAAGCUAUCUAUACACAACCUAGCUGCGAAAGUGGAGGCCAGUGGUGUUGAUGCACAAGUUAUGCAUCAUAGAGCAUGUGCAUUAAAGUCACACCUUAUUUAUUUAGGUUGCACGUUCAUACUUGUGGCGAAAAGUGCUUACCACAUCGAUGUGAUUUACCUUACACUUCUUUGGUUUAUAAUAAUAUAUCAUCUUUACUGUUACUAACAUUUCAUAACACUUGUGCUACACCAUUAUUAAUAUUUUAUCUGUAUCAUUCUCAGACAUGGAUCCUCCAGCAUUUUCCAUGCGUCUCCAGUUGGUCGCAUGUUGAUGACUACUCUAAGGAUUAGCUACAUGCUUUCACAUUUGUCCCGCUCAGAAGUAAUUAGGCCACUGAGCCCUUCAAAAUGUUUCUUGACCGCACUAUAGCAGAUGAUAUACGCUUCUAGUCGUACGGCGAUCACCGUCAAACGUGUUAUGACAUAACCUUCUACUAUAGAUGGUUGACAUGUGGGUAACACCUGAUGUAUCCAUAUUUUUCUAAGCAAAUCAUGCGCCAGUUCUAGUUUCUAAAGGUUAUUUCAAGAAACCCCUAUGUGUAUGCUCUUCUCGCUGUGGUACGCAAAAAUAUUGAUGUGAUGAAUGAUGAUUUCUAUAAUCAUCUAGUACUAGAGGAAACACAAAGUGUGACAGCUACUUAGCCAUGUAGUAGUACAUUCGACUACAUCCAAUGAUAUUUCAGAGUAUCACAUCCUUACAUGACAUCAAAUGCUCACGGAGAUCCACCUAAGACCUCAUUAGGAGAUAUUAGAGGUGCAAUAGGUUACGACAAAUCCUGUCAUUGAUAUUUUGACUACAUGUCGUCGUAUUAUGUAUAUUACGUGAGCGAGUAUAAAGAAAGAGAAGGCUUUCUAGAAGGCACUCAUUGGAGGACCAUUAUAAAUGCCUUUCUAUCCGAGGCAUGGACGACAUUGUAGUAAAGGAGGCAGAGAAGUAACAAUGGGGUCAGAUAUAUCCAAUAGUAUUUUACAGUAUUUAUAUUAUGGAUUUUGGAUAGUAUUAUGGUUGAUAAUUUGUCAUUUUGAUAGUAUUAUGGAUUCUGAAUUGAUUCUAAUGUAUAACAAAUUUAUUAUGAAAUUAUUAUAGAUGACCUAGUACAUCAGUAUACUUAUUACAUCAAUAUAUUUCUUAAAAAUUAUCAAACUUUAUUAUCUAAGGGUUAUUACGAAAAUAUACCUCUAUAAUUUUUACGGAAAUCCAAAUUAAUUUAUGACAAAAUGAGGGUGUGACUCGCUCACGAAUGAAUGUGGUGUUAUAUAGAAUGCGUACGAAAAUAUACUUCUAGAUUAACGAAGGACAAAUUUAAGUUUUUAUAAGAUGGUUCUUCACCGCUAAGAUCGGGAAGACCAACCCCUAAAAUUAUGAUGCCAAUGUUAUUUUGCCUCACUUAGUAAGUCUCUCUUGGACUAAUUGUAUUUAGCAUCAUUAUUUACCCCCCUUCUUUUCUAGAGGCCCGCUCCUAACAAUUGGUAACAUAUAUGACAAUUCGACUAAAAGAAGUUGUUGCUUUGUUUCUAGAUGAGAGUUUUCUCAUUAUGAAUCUAAACUAGGACUCAUUUGUCUUUGGAUUGAGUCAGCCUCAUAUUUUAGUUGGGGGUAUUGACAUUGUCAAAUCAAGAACCAUAUGCACCGCCAUAGUCAAUACUUCCAUCAUUAUUUUGCCAGACUGGAAAUGUUCAAGGUCUGCAUAGAAGCUAAGUCAAUCAUAACCAAAACUUACAAACAUAUGACAUGUGUUCCCUUGAAUAACUGAUUAAUAUACAAACAUUUUACAAUCCAAACACGAUUAAAAAAAAAACCAUUAGAAACAUAUGGCAUAUGUACUUUGACAAAAGACAAUUUUACAAAAUCACUCAAGGAAUGUAUAGCAUGGCUGCAGAGAUUGUAUAGAACAACACAACCAACUUAAUUACAACUUAUAACUUUUCAAAAUUGUACUUAAAAUCCAACAGAAACAUAUUAUAUAUCCAAACAUUAAUAUCAUCUGUAGUACUAUAUGUGUGAUAAAAGGCAAUUUUACAAAUUUACUCAUCAACAUCAGUUACUUGAGCACAUGAUGCUUCCAUCAUUCCAUUGCGAAUUUGAUUAGAGAUAUCCCUAACAUGGCCAGGUCCAUGAGGUAUAAAAACUGUGGUAUUCUUUGAAGAGUUCCCAAGGUCUCUGAUUGUGUCAAAGUACUGAGUAAUCAUGAUAAGAUCCAUCACUUCCUUUGC